UUUUUCUUCUUCUUCUUCAUUUUUCUUUUUCUUUUUUUUUUACCUGUUGAUCAAAUGACGGAUUGGAUGAAUCAGCUCGACGAUUCCUCCACCUUUCUGCGGCUCGGCGAUCUCUCCUCCUUUUCGCGGCUCGGCGAUUUCUCCUCCUUUCCGCGGCUCGGCGAUCCUCCUCCUUUCCACGGCUCGGUGAUAUCUCCUUUUUUUUGAAGUUUUUGUAUGUCGGAACGAGUGUAGCAAUCUAUCUAUUUUUUUUUUGUUUUUGUCUAUCGUAUCGUAUUCGUAAAAAAAUUCUCCCAUGUUUGAUUUCGGUUCUCGUAUUUAUAAUGGGAGGGGUGGUGAGAGAUAUUUUGAGGGAUUCUAAAUUCGAAUUUAAAUUUUGAAUAGGUUGUUGGAUGGUUGGAGGAUUUUUGGGAAUUGGUUGGAGAUUCGAAAUUCGAAAUCGAAUUUUGAAUCGGUUGUUGGAUGGUUGAAGGAUAUUUUGGAGAGUCGGUUAGGGAUUCAAAAUUCAAAAUCGAAUUUUGAAUCGGUUGUUAGGUAGUUAGGUAUUCAAAAUUCGAAUGGAUGUUGGUUGGGGAUUCGAAAUUCAAAAUUGAAUUUUGAAUGGGUUGUGGGAUGGAUAGGUAUUCAAAAUUCAAAUGAAUGUUGGUUGAGAGAUAUUUUGGGAGUUGGUUCGAAGUUCGAAAUCGAAUUUCGAAUAGGGUUAUUAGGAUAACAGAUAUUUUCUUGGGGUUUAAAAAUUUAAAAUCGAAUUUGAAUAUGAUAUUCGAAAUUGAAUUUUCAAACGUGGGUGAAAAUGUGGGCCGUGAUCCCAUGAAUUGAGCUAAAAUUGGGUCCACUUUGAUAAAACUUGUUGGCACAAUUAUUCAUUGGACUGAGAUGAGGCCCGAAUUAUUGUAUAGGCCUAAAAUUUUAAAGGGCUUUCAUGAGGCCUAUUAAUUCACAUUUAUGAAUGGGCCUAUUGUAUAUUUAAACUAUAAUUAUUGGCCCAAAAAAAUUAAUGGUAUGAGUCCGAAUUUAAUCAAUUUUGAUUAGGACUACUUACCUCAAAUUUUCUUUUUACUUCAAACAAAUUUCUUCGGACCCCAAAUCAGAACUAAACGGGGAUUUCUUCGGACCCCAAAUCAAAAUCAAAACGGAAAUUUCUUUGGACUCCAAAUCAAAUCCAAUUGGAGAAUCAAACGGGAUUUCUUCGGACCCCAAAUUAAAAUCAAAACAAGGAUUUCUUCGGACCCCAAAUCAAAUCCAAUUGGAGAAUCAAACGGGGAUUUCUUCGGACCCCAAAUCAAAUUGGAAAAUCAAAACGGGGAUUUCUUCGGACUCCAAAUCUAAAUCAAAUUGGAAAAUCAAAAGGGGAUUUCUUCGGACCCCAAAUCCAAGUCAAAUUGAAAAAUCAAAAGGGAAUUUCUUCGGAUCCCAAAUCAAACCAAAUCAAGAUCAAAAGGGGAUUUCUUCGGACCCCAAAUCAAACCAAAAUUGCAAAACCAAAAAAGGAUUGCCUCGAACCCGAAAUAGAAUUGAAAAGAAAACCAAACCAAAUUCGAAUCAAGUCCACAUACAAACCAAAUCCGAAUCAAGUCCAUAUCCAAACCAAAUCCGAACCAAGUCCACAAAUAAAGCCCAAAACCAAAACCCAAAUAAAACCCAAACCCAAAACCCAAAUAAAACCCAAACCCAAAGUCCAAAUAAAAAACCCAAAACCAAAUACAGUCCACAAAUAAACCCAAACCCAAAACCCAAAACCCAAAUCAAAUCCAAACCCAAAACCAAAUAUAGUCCACAAAUAAAUCCAAAUCCAAAACCCAAAUCAAAUCCAAACCCAAACCCAAAUCAAGUCUACAUCCAAACCUAACCCAAACCAAGUCCACAAAAAGAACCGAAACUCAUUCUACAAAUAAAAUCCAAACCCAACCCAAACCAAGUCUAUAAAUAAAACCAAAAUCCAAACCAAAACCCGAACCCAAAACCAAAACCCAAACCCAACCCAAACCAAGUCUAUAAAUAAAACCAAAAUCCAAACCGAAACCCAACCCAAACUAAGUCUCAUGAACCAAAACUAAUAAACUAAGUUCAUUGACCACGAACCAUAUCCAUGAACCUUACCCAAGUUCGUGAACCAAACACCACGGAUCAUAACCCAAGUUCAUGAAUCAGGGCCCAUGAACCAAAAUAAACCAAGUUCAUGAACCAUGAACCAAGUCCAUGAACCAUAUCCAAGUUCAUGAACCAAAUCCCAUAUACCCAACUUUAUAAGCCAUAAACCAAGUUCAUAAAUCAUGAAUCCAGUCCAUAAACCAAGAUUCAUGAGCGAAGUUCAAAAACCUCACCCAUGAACCAUAUCGAAGUUCAUGAACCAUAUCCAAUAUACCCAACUUUAUAAACUAUAAACCAAGUUCAUGAAUCAUGAAUCAAGUCCAUAAACCAAGAUUCAUGAGCCAAGUUCAUAAACCUCACCUAUGAACCAUAUCUAUGUUCAUGAAUCAUAUCCAAUAUACCCAACUUCAUAAACCAUAAACAAAGUUCAUGAAUCAUGAAUCAAGCCCAUAAAUCAAGAUUCAUACACCAAACCUUAUGAACCAUACACCAUGAAUCAUAAACCAUACACCAUAAUCCAUAAACCAAGAUCAUAUACCCAACCUCAUGACCCAUACACCAAGUUCAUGAAUCAUAAACCAAGUUCAUGAACCAUACCUUAUGAACCCAUGAACCAUACAUCAAGUUCAUAAAUCUCAUCCAUGAACCAUAUCCAAGUUCAUGAACCAAAUCCCAUACACCAAACCUCAUGAACCAUAUACCAAAUCCUAUGAGCCAUGCACCAAACUAUAUCCAAAUCUCAUGAACCACAUGAACUAUAUCUUAACCUCAUAUACCCAAAUCUCAUGAACCAAUACCCAAAUCUCAUGAACCAAUACCCAAAUCUCAUGCCCAAAGUUCAUCAUGAACUUUUUCUUUACUCUAGUAUAUAUAACUAGAGUAAAAAUCGAAUAUCGACUACCCCUGAUACAUAUACUUAGGGCUAAGUCAAUUGCCUUAGCAUAUAUAACUAAGGCAAAUCAUCUCCAAAUCGACAGAAUUCUAAAUCAUAUAUUUAGAAUUCAGUCAAAUGAUAUCAAGUUCAUUCAAACUCUAACACAUAUACUUAGAGUUCAUCCGACUAACCCUAAUACAUACCUUUAGGGUCUAGUCAACCUUUUACUCUAGCACAUAUACCUAGAGUGGAAGUCAAAUCAAGCUCGACUAGUCCUAACCCAUAUACUUAGAGUCUAGUCAGCCUUUUGCUCUAGCACAUCUACCUAGAGUGAAAUCCAUACCCGAUUGAGCUCUAAUACAUAUACUUAGAGCUCAUGCAAAUCAAAUUCGACGAAGCCUAACAUAAUACCUCAGGGCUUAGUCAGAUCUUCACUCUAGCACAUAUAACUAGAGUGAAAAAUAUAUUAAACUCGGUUAAUCCUGAUACAUACACUCAGGAAUUAGCCAUUCUCUACUUUUGGGUAAUAUCAAAUUCGACCCACCUCAAAACAUAUACUUGGGGUCGGGUCACAUCUCCACCUUGGAAUAUACAACCAAGGUGAAUCUAAUCAGACUCUAAGACAUAUACUUAGAGCCAAUAGACUCUAAUACAUAGAGUUUAAUAUCGACUAGGUCUUAACACAUAUACUUAGGACCUAAUCAAUCUCAAAUCCAACUGAAUCCUAAUACAUAUACUUAGGAUUCAAUAAACCAAGAUACGAUUCAUCUCAUCCCAUCUAUAAAGGUCUCUUAAUCGAAGGUGCCCCAAUCCACGGGGGUAAUUAACAGUAGAUGCUUGCAUCUAUUGAAAGCCAUGGACCCGCGAUACCUAAUACCCACAUACAUAUAAAUACUCAUCUGAAUCAUUAAUACUACCCCACGGCCUAAAUCCAUCGACCGUGCGAGGUGCGUCAUUCGUGGUAGCAGACAACACAGUGUUGUGAGUGAUACUAUCAAGUAUACUACAUGUCCAAAUGCCCAAUACUAUGCUAUAAGCAUGUCCAAGUAAUCCAACUACCAAAGCCUAUCUAGUAGUGAUUGUAAUUGACCGGUUCAAUGUCAUAUUAUGGUUUUAAUUUCAAUGCUCAAUCUUAAUCAGGACCUACACGAGUGUAGUCCGGCUUGUGCCGCCUAAUGGCCCCGAGUAGUCCAGCAUUCACUAGGAAUGUGACUGUCCCUCGGUAACCCAGUAGGCUCUUAAACCCGUACCGGCGAGCAUAUGUCACGUAGGCCAACUCCGGAGUGCCGGUUUGUAGGGAGCAACCCUCACAAGCAUGUGCAAAUGAGCACAAAUGGCAAGCAAGCAUGGUAAUCAUCUCAAGAACCCGAACAUCAUGUCUCUAAUAUAGUAAUUGUAAGGAAGUGAAUUCUUGAAAUCCGAGGAUUGUACUUCAUCCAGGAUCGACUAAUUGUCGAGAGAAUACCCUUUGUGGGAGUUAAAAAUAUCUAAAACACAAAAAGUGCUUUAGAAACGCUAAAUAGCAUUGCAUGAAUGUCGGGAACAAAUGAUUCCGCAAGAGAUGUUGACCCUAGUUGUAAGGCAUCCUCACAUGGAGAGGAUUUGAUUGGGUUGUGGACCCUAGUGAUAGUGCUCCCUCACUUGGAGAGGAUUCGAUUGGGUAUUAACCCUAGAUGCAGGGCAUCCUCACUUGGAGAGGAUAGAUCUAGCUCACAGUCUGCGUUUGGGAUGGUAUAGCCAUCCAAUCCCCACAUGGAGGGGAUUGUCGUCGAGUACUCCGGAGUGUCGCGCGACUAGGACCACUUGGAGGUCCGGACCACAUGGAGGUCCGCAGACGGUCCCGGGCUUGGGUGCACUUGGAGCUCCCUCCCCACUUUGAGAUUGAAAGGUGAGUUAUAGGCGAGCCCCAGGGCUUCGCCACAGAUUGGGUAAAUGGAAAGGUAAAGGUUUAAUAAUGUCAUUGAACAUUGCUAUUCGAACAUGGAUCGAAUUUGUUAGCAUGGUAGCAAACCUUUAUUAAAUGAUGCAUGCAUUCAUAUUCUUGAUUAUGGGCAUAGUAGCAUAGUUUUCCUACUACCGCAUUUACAGUUUUUAGAUACAUAUCUAUCUAUCUAUCUGUUGUUACUUGUGCCCACUUGGACCUAGUGGGGAGAUCGGCAGAGUCGGCGGCCGAGCCCACUGGGAACUAUAGAAGAUAGUUCUCACCCCACUCCAUUUCCAGUGGUAGGUACAGGGCUGCCGAGAGAGGACCGCGGCAAGGGCAUCGCGCCCGAUCAAUGAGACCGUGGUAGUAUAGUAGCUUUCCUUUUUGCAUUAGUACACCUAUGUAUUGAGAGAGAUUCAUUGUAGGUGAGGACUUGGAGAGCUAUGUAUUUUAGAGAUGAAAAAUGUAUUCAUUUAAAGAAAAUGAUGUAAAUGAAAAUGAUGGAACUAUUGUAAUAGUUAGUAAAGUACUCUCUUUAUUUCACAUGUAUACCUUGUGGAUUGCUUGCUCUUUGUAUUGUUGGCACUGUUUGUGCCCUUGCGGAUGUGUAUGUUUAGAAUUUAAAUUCCUGGGUAAAUUCUUGUACACAUUCCCGUUGUUGAGCCUUGGGCGGACAGGGGAGGUGCUGUCCGUUCGGCGGUCCGCUCACCGUGCCCGAAUCGUGCCAAAUUGGUAGUGGUUUCGGGGCAGGACCUGACAGCUGUGGUAUCAGAGCAAUAAAAGCAAGUAAAGAGAGAGUCUAGGAUGACCUAGGAGACCCUAGGUUGGUAAGCCCUGAGGUUAUAUGUGUUUGAGCGGAACGUGAACCUAUAGCGAUGGCGAAAGUUGAUUCGAUUGGGUCGAAAUGGGUAAUAUGUCUCUAGUUGUGAUUAGAGACGGAUUUAAGUGGUAUGAGUUCUUGUCUUGAGGUGGUUGUGUCGGCGGCCGACGACAUAAUACCAAGAGUCUAGAACGAGUGCACUUGUGUGCUUCCGCCCGAUUUUUGUGGUUGAGUCGUAAUGUGUCGUAAUUGCGACGAGGUAAUUGGUUAAGAUGACUGACCAAGUAUUUGCGUUUCAGGGACUAAUGUCUCCAAGAUGCUACACGCGUAGAUCUGCCCCAGCACCGAUUCCUGAGGUGCCCGAGCAGGAGGAACUGAGCGUGAUCGAUCGGUUGCAAGCGCAGGUGACCGCGGUGACCAACGUGGUGCAGCGCCAGGAGACCCGAUUUGAGCGUCUCCAAGAUCUAUUGGAGCUGCAGAUUGCGGCAGCGGCUGCGACAGUGAAUGAGGGCGGUGGUCUGCCCGUACCCUCGACUCAUGCACCCGGAGCGGCAGAGGGUGAGGGCAUAGCGGCGGUUCCGGUGAUGGCACGUCCACCGCGAGCGAUCGUACCACAGGCGGCAUCGGGAUCGGCUACACCCGAUGUAUCGGCCGAAGACGUGGAGGGAGAGAGCGCUUUGGCAGCUCUUAUCAAGUUCAACAAGUUCCAUCCGCCAACCUUCGAGGGCGAGAAGGUGGAACCGGAGAUGGUCGAGUCUUGGAUCGACUCGAUGGAAACCCUCUUCGAUGACCUGCGUACCUUGGAGAGGGACAGGGUGUAUCUCGCAACCCAUUGCUUGGGAAAGGCGGCGAAAGUUUGGUGGAAGCGAGUCAAACGGGAUCGGCUUCCCGGCCUUCCGCCAAUGUUGUGGAAGGAGUUCAAGCGGGAGAUUUUCGCCAACUAUUUCCCCGAUACAUUGAAGCGGAAGCUCAAGAAGAAGUUCCGCAAGCUGGAGCAAGGGGACCGCUCAGUAGCGGAGUAUGAACAAGAAUUCUCCCAUAUCAUAGACUGUGUCCCGGAUGUUGUAAAGGAUGACCGGGACCGGGCCGAGUGGUUCUUGCGAGGACUUCGGCCGGGAAUCUACAAGGCCAUGCAAAUACUCAAGCUCACGACCUUCGCGGAGGUCUUUGAUCGAGCCCUAUGGGCGGAGCACGGAGAUGCCCAUGUUCGGGAGAAGCGUGAGGCUUUGGCCGAGUCAAAGGACAAGGGCAAGAAACGCCAAGGCGGCGGUAGUUCGGGGGGACAAACAUGUUACAAGAAACCCCCGAAAUAUCCGCGCACUCAACAGAAGGGCUGUGGAGCGCGGCGAUGCAUUGUGUACGGCGGAGACCACCCGGUCUCGUGCUGUGAGCAAGGCCGAGGCAAGUGCUACAAGUGUGGGCAGCCGGGGCACUUCAUUCGAGAUUGCCUUGGAUGAGGAGCCUCACCUGCCCCCUCGAUUGCAUCGGCGCCGGCGAUUCCGGCUCACUAUGGAGGAGCUCCACCGACGGCCGCGUCGACUGGACGCGCGAUGAUGCCGCGUCAACCCGAAGUGACGAGAUCGGCCCCGAGCGGACGGGUGUUCGCCGCUCACUUCCAAGCUGAGGAACCUGCGGAGGCGGAGGAGCAUCGCCUUGUAGCAGGUAUGGUUUUAAUUAACGGAGUUCGCUCCAGGGCUUUAUUUGAUACAGGAGCGACACAUUCAUUCAUAAGUAGAUCAUUCGCAUGCAUGCAUGGCAUACAUAUAGAAGCGAGUGACGAGUGGCGAGUGGAGGGCCCUGGGUCAACGUUUAACACUUACUCGAAGUGUGUGUCGUGUCCCGUACAAAUAGGCGACUGGAUUAUGCCUAUCCGGGCACUGGAACUCACAAAGCUUGAGGCUUACGAUGUCAUUCUGGGCAUGGACUGGCUCUCGAAGUAUCACGCAAUAAUCGACUGCAAGAGCAGAGUGAUCACAUUCCGUGAGCCAGGACAAGAGGAGUUCACGUAUCGGGCUUGUCAAAGCUCGUGCUUCGUCGCGACAGUGUCGGCGACGAGAGCGAGGAAGAUGGUCAACAGCGGUUGCACGGCAUUCUUAGCGACUGUUGUAGAAGUCGAGCGAGUAUCUCUAAUGUUAGAGGAGUUAUCUGUGGUGCGGGAGUUCCAGGAUGUGUUUCCUGCGGAGUUGCCGGGGAUGCCACCGGAUCGGGAGAUUGAGUUCGUCAUAGACUUGGUUUCUGGUACCGCACCGAUCUCGAAGGCUCCGUACCGAAUGGCGCCGGCGGAAUUGAAAGAGUUGAGGAGUCAACUGCAAGACCUCCUCGACAAGCAAUUUAUCCAGCCAAGUGUAUCACCGUGGGGAGCCCCGGCGUUGUUUGUGAGGAAGAAGGAUGGAUCGUUCCGACUCUGCGUGGACUAUCGAGAAUUGAGCAGAGUCACAAUCAAGAACAAGUACCCACUACCCCGAAUCGAUGACUUGUUCGAUCAGUUGCAGGGGUCGUGUGUGUACUCAAAGAUAGACUUACAAUCCGGCUAUCACCAGCUAAAAAUCAAGCCGGAGGAUGUGCAGAAGACCGCGUUCCGCACGCGGUAUGGACAUUACGAAUUCACUGUCAUGCCAUUUGGACUUACGAAUGCUCCAGCGGCAUUUAUAGAUUUGAUGAACCGUGUCUUCAAGAAGUAUUUGGAUCAAUUUGUCGUGGUCUUCAUAGACGACCUAUUGGUCUAUUCUCGUAGUGACGAGGAACAUGCCUAGCAUUUGAGGAUAGUGUUUCAAGUCCUUCGGGAGGAGAAGCUAUAUGCUAAACUGAAGAAGUGUAACUUCUGGCUUCGCGAGGUCGCCUUCUUAGGGCAUGUGAUUUCCGCGGGUGGAGUUUCUGUAGACCCGAGGAAAGUUGAGGCAAUCAAGGAUUGGCCACGCCCGACGAAUGUCACGGAGGUUCGAAGCUUCGUGGGCUUGGCGGGCUACUAUAGGCGGUUUGUGGAAGGCUUUUCCAAGACAGUGAUUCUGCUUACCUGCCUAACUCAAAAAGGCACCAAGUUUGUUUGGAGCGAAGAGUGCGACCGGAGUUUCAAAGAGUUGAAGCAGAGAUUGACUUCGACCCAGGUGCUCGCUCUACCGGUGCAGGGCGAAGACUUCGUGGUCUACAGCGAUGCCUCCUAUCUUGGGCUGGGGUGUGUAUUGAUGCAAAACGGGAAGGUGAUCACCUACGCAUCCCGUCAGCUGAAGAGCUAUGAAAAGAAUUACCCCAUCCAUGAUUUGGAGCUAGCGGCGGUGAUUUUCGCCUUGAAGCGGUGGAGGCACUACUUAUAUGGUGCCCAUUGUGAGAUCUAUACCGACCACAAGAGCUUGAAGUACAUGUUCACACAGAAGGAGCUCAAUAUGCGUCAGCGGCGGUAGUUGGAGCUAUUAAAGGAUUAUGAUGUUGAUAUCCUCUACCACCCCGGGAAGGCAAAUGUGGUAGCGGACGCACUUAGUAGGAAGUCGGCGAAGAACCUCGCUUUUGAUGUUACCCAGCAAACACCCCUAUGGCUGGAUAUGGAGCGAUUGGAUCUUGAAGUGGUCGCUCCCGAGGUCCCGACUCAGUUGAUGGCACUCAUUAUCCAACCGACCUUGUUGGAGAGGAUCAAAGAUCUGCAACCCGCAGACCCAGAACUCCAAAAGGUGCGGCGAAACAUGGAGAAAGGGCAUGGCGGCGAUUUCAAGGUAGACGCCGAUAGUACGCUUCGGUUUCGAAACCGAUGGUGUGUGCCGAAAGAUGGAGAGCUUCGUGAAUUGAUUCUACAAGAAGCAUACCGAUCUCCAUAUGCUGAUCACCCGGGCGGCACCAAGAUGUACAAGGACUAAAAAUGCACUAUUGGUGGCCGGGAAUGAAAAGUGAUAUUGGACGCUUUGUGGCGAAGUGCUUAACAUGCCAACAAGUAAAGGCCGAGCGUCGAUUUCCAGCGGGUAAGCUUCAAAGCCUACCAAUCCCCGUUUGGAAGUGGGAGGAUAUAUCGAUGGACUUUGUGGUCGGCUUGCCUCGCUCAACGGGCGGCCACAAUGCAAUUUGGGUAAUUGUGGACCGAUUGACGAAGUCGGCUCACUUCUUGCCGAUCCACACCACGUGGUCGGGUGACAAGUUAGCGCAGGUAUACCUUGACGAGGUAGUGAGACUGCAUGAUGUACCGAAAUCGAUCGUGUCGGAUAGUGACCCCCGGUUCACUUCACAUUUCUGGAAGAGCCUGCAGGAAGUCCUUGGCACAUGGCUCGACUUUAGCACUGCAUUUCAUCCUCAGACCGAUGGGCAAACAGAGAGAACUAUUCAAACUCUGGAGGACAUGUUGCGAGCGUGUGUCAUUGACUAUAAGGGAAGUUUGUGUGAUCACCUACCUAUGGCCGAGUUCGCCUACAACAACAGUUAAAAUGCUAGUGUGGAGAUGGCACCGUUCGAGGCUCUCUAUGGGCGGACGUGUAACGCACUGGACCUUGCAAAUUGUGGGGUUCGAGUGAUUGAGUGUGUUCUGAACUUUUCCAGACUUUCUGGUAGGUCGUUGACUGUGUUCCGACCUAUGGUUCGAGUCCCGAGAAUUGUGGUUUAAAAUCUUGCAUCAAAAUCCAAAAAUUUAGAUUUUUGGUCAGCUCUCGGAUAGCCUUCAGCAGGCCGUGUACCGGUAUGGGUUCGCUUGCUGUACCGGUACAGGGUUGAUGGCUGUACCGGUACGGGUCCGCGUACCGGUACACAGACGGCUUUUCGGCCAAACCCGAGGCUCGGGUUUGCGUUUCGUGGGUUGUGUACCGGUACACAAACCCGUGUACCGGUACACAAACCCGUGUACCGGUACACAAUGCAGAUUGGGGCUGUUUCGUGGAUGGGUGUUUUUGCAAUUGUUGCAGCACCUUUAUAAGUGACCCCAGCCCCCUUGGCUGCUCUCCUUGAGCUCUAAACAGGGAGAAUCAAGGUGAGUCUUCUCCUCUUGGUUUGAUCUCCAUUUUUUGGUGGUUUUUAUGGGUUUUGAUCUCUCUCCUUCUCUCCUUUUUGCUUUUUGUGGGUUUGCCACCAUUGGAGAAGCUUGAGAUCUUGGUGGGAGCUUAUUUGGAGAUCAACCUUCAACCCUAAAAAAUAGAUCAUCAUUCUUCCACAUGUAUAAUGAUAUACUCAAAGUCAAAUCUGAGAGACCACCCCACAGGCUGUCUAGGCCCCUGAGAACCUCACCCUAGGUCCUUCUGCCGUGCAGCCUAAUGGCCCGUGGUAGUCAAUCCAUCCCCACCCAAGCAGAGCCUGUCCCCACGGCAAUCCACUUCGGCACCCAAAUCCCGCAAGGCGAAUAUAAUCGCUGAUGGUAAUCUCCGGAUGCCGGCUGUAGGAACGACCUCAAACAAGCAUUUUCUAAUCGAGCAAAUGCGCUAUAGUAUUCAAGCCAUCGUGUCAUCAAUACCAAGUCCUCAGUCUAAUAACAGAACUAUAUCGUCACCAAUAUCCCAUGCCUAUUCCUAUGUAUCAGUCUUUAACAUGGAAUAUAUACAGAUAUGUUGCGCUUACUCAAAUAUUCUCUACGUUUGCAGUUUUCAUUAGUUUUACUAGUAUUCAAAGUGCCCCUUUAACACUGCUUCUCUAUGUCAAAGCACUGGCACUAUAUUCCCAAAGUACACUAUUCCAUAGUCAUAACAGCCUCAUAAAGAUUAUUUUCACUUGCAUAAAUAAACACUUUCCCAUAUCAUGCAUUCUAUUCAUAUACCUUACUAUAUAGUGAAAUUUCAUAGCAUACACAAGGCAUGCAAUUUAAGUGCUUUAAAAAUCCAUAUAAAUUCCAUUUAGCAUAAAAUAUGAAUUUAAAAAAAUAUUACAAAACAAGAGCAAAGGACAUGGGCUUUUCGCCCCAUUUCCCACAAAUCAAACCCACCCGAUCGACACACCGAACUCCUCGUUUGCCCACAACGAGGUGUCUUUCUAGUCUCCUAUACCUAGGAUGUAGGAACAAGUUCAAUUAAAGCUUACGAACAAACUAAGCUCAAACAUUAACUUCUCUACUUAUGUUGAGAAAACUCACCGAACUUAAUAGAAACCCCCACAACCAAAAGGAGUAGAUUUCUUGCAAAUCAACCUAAAUCAAAUUCUUAACCAAUCAAUUUGGUUCUAGACUAAAUCAAAAAUUCCAAUUCUAUAGCCCUAGAACCAAAUCUAAGGUUUCAUCAAAAUAAAACCUCCAAAACUAAUCCAAAUGGAGAUUAGGUUUACUAACCUCAAAAACCCAAAAAUAGAAAAAAAAGGCGCGCUUUCCCAAAAACAAUCUCCAAGUCCUCUGUUGAAGGUUAACUCAUCCUUGAUUUCUCCCUGUUAAGGCUGCAAUUAGAGCACAAGGGGCUUGGGUCACUUAUAAACAUGUUCAACAAUUGCAAAAACACCCCCCCGAAACACGCCCCAAUCGCACUGCUGUACUCGUAUCACCGGUUUGUAAUACCGUACAACAACCCAGAAACGCAAACCCGAGCCUCGUUUUGGCCGAAAAGCGCGUCGACCGUAUUACAGCGGGCCCGUACCGUACAGGCCAUCAAACCGUACGUACAGCAAGCAAAAACCCGUUACCGUACCGCCCUGCUGAAGCUUCUGAGAGCUGACCAAAAAAAUCCAAAAUUUUUGAAUUUUGUGCAAGUUUAUAACACAAAUCUCCGGGACCGAAUCAUUGUCGGAACACAUCAACGACGCUACCUGAAAGUCUGGAAACAGUUCAGAAACACCAAUUGCAUCGAACGCACAAUUUGCAAAAAGUCCUAGUGCGUUAUAUACCCCUCCUAAAAAAGAGUUUCGUCCGCAAACCCGAAAGCAAAAAUCAUACCUAAAGGCUCCUAUCUACAAAGAGGUAUAGCGCGCCUCAUCGCACUCUCUACUCCUACGGGCAUCGCGCUCUCGCUGAUUCGCCCAAAGAGACCUCCAAUAUCGGAAAUCCGAUUCCGCCACUUUUCAACCCUCGCGAUGCUCAAGAAUCUCACAUAGGUUGCUCGCUCGAAGUCAGGAUCUCACGCUCAGCUCCACUGUAUAGCUUCCAAAUUGAUCUGGUCCAUCAGAAUGUACCUCCGAAGGACCGAUAAUAAGACGUUGUCACCCGAUAGGUUCGGCGGUAGAGCAAGUCGAUACUCACCUGGCACUACACGCUCCAAGAUCUCAUACGUCCAAUAAACCUGGGCUUCAACUUCCCCAAAUCGCCCGAAUCUCUUAUUCCUCUAGUUGGCGAGACAUUCAAAAGAAGACAUGUUUCCCACUUGGAACUCAAGUCUCCGCCCCGUCGAUGCAGGAGUCUCCUCUGUCUAACUCUGCCCCAAAAGUUCGCUCCUGAAGUUCAAUUCGAACCUUGUCCUCACUUCCUAGAGCACAUUCCAUGGCCAAAGCCAAUCUUCCCGACUUUCAUCCAGAUGAAGUGGGCGAUCUAUAACACUCCGUCCAAUAAAGCUUCAAGUGCCCAUCUUGAAUGCUUUCUUGAUUAACUGUUGUAUAUUACAAACUCCGCCAUAGGUAGUUAUGCUCUGCGACCUAUGCCUCCCGGAACUGCUUAUCACACAUGCCCGGAGCAAUAUCCUCUUUAAAUGUCUGAAUAUUGCGCUCUGACUGCCCACACUUUGGCGGUGAAGCAGUAACUGAAGUCCCAGAUCGAUUGCCUAGGCGUCUUAGACUUCUCCAAAAGUGAUAACACAAACUCGGGUGUCCUCGAUAUAUGAACUAUCGACGUUAGUACCUUUCCAUGAAUCGCAUUCAAUCUCAUCGAGUACACUUGUGCGAUGCUUCUCCCCGGUCCAAAGUUGUAUAAUAGUAAAUGCGCCGACUUGUCAACCCAUCCACGAUCACCCCAAAUAGCUUCAUGCCCUGCCUGUGAGCGUGCAAUAAACUUCACAAAGUCAUGUAUCUUCUCCCAUUUCCACACGGAAUAGCAAACUCUUAUUUUCCCGGCGGGAACUCGGUGCUCAGCCUUUACUGCGACAUUAACAACGAGCUACAACCUCGCCAACGUCCUUUUUCAUCCCGGGCCACCAAAUAAAUCAACUUAGAGCCUUUUACAUCUUGGCCAUUCCCGAUGUAAGCACUACGCCUCGGGUGCGUCUUCUGAAGAAAUUUCUUCUUAAUUUCUGGAUCCGCAGGUAUACAAAUUUGCCCACGGAAACGCAUGCAAUCCCUGGAGUCGUCCAAAAGGAAGACGCCGGGCAACUAUCAAACCUUUUCUACCCUCGAAUCUUGCAACUCCACAUCAAGCUUUGUCUUCUCUUUGACCCCUCCAACAAUGUAGGUUGCUACUACUAAUUCCAUCAACGCUCAUAACGCGUGUCAAUGAGUCACUAAUCUCCAACUCCAACCGCUUCAUCUGCUCGAUCAAUCUCGGUUGAUUCAUCAACACAUCGCUAAGGUUUUUUUAUCGAUUUCCUACUUAGCGCAUUGAUCCGCCACCACGUUAGCCUUGUCUUUUUCGGGUGGUAAAGAAUCCUCAAAAGAAAAUUCCCCCAUAAUCCUUGAUAGCUGCAACCAUCUGCGCUGUCCUCAAGUACAACUCUUUCUGAGAAAUAUGUACUUUAAAGCUCUUUGUGAUCCGUUGAAUACUUCGCACCGCUCCUCUUAAAAGAUAGUGCCCAUAAGCUCAAUCGAACACUACGCCGCCAAACUCCAAUCAUGUCGUCGGGUAUUCUUCUCAUAUUCCUUGUAUUGCGAGACAUACGCUAUCAACCGAUUGCAUCCGCAUCAAUCAACCACACUCAAUUUCCAUUAAGUGAAAGCAUCCAUAUAAUCCACAUACCGUGCUCCAGCUAAACUGUAGGUCCCAUGAUCGGCAGGUCGCUAAUCUACGGCUUCAAACUCUUGAACUCUUGCGCUUCGCACUCUGCGUCAUUCCAAAUGAACUUGACUCCUUUAUGCGUGAGGCCUCGUUUGUGAGGGGAGUAGAUAGUUAGCAACCCCUCUACAAAUCUCCGUAGUACCCCGGCAUCCCAAGAAGCUCAGUUACUCCCGUGACCUCGUUCGCUCGCAAUUCCUUGAUCGCUUCAAUCCUUCUUGACCCGCUAUACAUGAUCCCGAAAUGCAAAUUCCAAGACAAAAGCACCUUCCUUGAGCCCAAAAUUCAAUUUUCUUCAACUUGGCAUAAGCCCUCUUUCCGAAGUUACUUGAUACAAUCUCAAUGCUUCCUCGUGAUCUGCAUCACUGUCUGGCCGAAGUUACCCAAAAAUGUCGCGAUGAACAUCCACGCACACAAAAUGUCUAGAUAAUAAGCUUAAAAACCACGGUUCAUUUAGAUCCAUAAAACUGCCGGUGCAUAUUAAGCCCCGAACGGCAUAACGUGAACCUCGUAAUGUCCAUACCGGUUCUAAAAGGCUGUCUCGAUACCAUCCUCGGUUGAAUCUUUAGUUGUGUCGUAUCGCCGACUGUAAGUCUAUCUUCGAAUAUUACACACGAUCCCUGAAGGCUAUCAAAUCAAGUCGCGAUCCUCGCAUACGAUACUUUUUUUGAUCGUUGACUUAAUUGAGUCACAUAACCACACAGAAAGCGAAGUAACCGUCCUUCUUCUUUGACGACAAAGCUGUUGCUUCCCAAGGUGAAACUCUCGGGCGAAUAAUACCUUGUCAAUCAAACUCUUCAGGCUGUCCCUCAGCUCCCUCAGCUCCGCCGAUGCCAUCCCUAUAGGGUGCUUUGAGAGUGGGUAGUCCAGGGUCGAGAUCCACCACAAAACUAAUCUCCGCUAUCGGAGCAUAAACGCGGUAGCUCAAGCUGGAACACAUCCUGAACUCUCAAGCACCACCCCCAGAUAUCCUCGGAUCCUAGGUGGUAUCAUCCGUCGCCUCUUAACACCACACUACCAAAAUAGGCUACGCAACUCUGCUGAUCAUUGCCUAUCCGAACUAUUGAUCGUCAAUCGCAAAUAGUAACUCCGGCAAUCCACAAAAUACAAACUCUCGUCUAUCCGUUCUCUAACAAUAACUGUGGCAUUCUUACAAUCAAUGCGUGGCAUAAUACUUGGUCAAUCACAAGUCCAUGCCCAAACCACGUCAAAAUUCCCGACCGCUUGCGCAACAGCUAGUAAAUCUACAGCAUAAUCCAAUUUCCUACGCCGAACAGGCAACUGGAACUAUACUCUCUAAUAUCCAAACGUGGUCGGUACAUACAACAUGUCCGCGGUAUGUUUGAGGUUAGAGAUUGCAACAAACCUGAAGAUCGACGCAUGCACCUCGCUCGAAAGAUGCGGCCUUGUCCUCAUCGUCCCGCAUGACGAAGGGCAGCAUGCAGAAGACGAGAAAACUCCCUCCGGUACUCGCUACGGUCCUCACGCUAGCGCAAAGCCUUGCGCAAUCCUGUUCCAAUCUUUCAUCUGACGCUGUGCGGAAGUAGUGCGCAAAAGAAGUCCUGAAACCUCGUGUCCAAUGGAUAGGCUGUCCAAAUCUGUCGAGGGUUCUCCUGAUAGCCAACUACACAGUGCGUUAGCACGCCGUCCCAAAUGUGAGUGCCAGCCACAAUCGCUGUCCUCUCCUCCAACGAAGGUUCGUCGGAAGACUCUCCAUAUUCAUCAACCACUUCUCCACGAUCAGUUCUGACCUUCUCGUGCCGUCGAAGACUCGGAGCUGCACCUCCUGAAACUCAUUGAGGCGCUCCAUCAGUCUAAUCUCCGCUCCGCCAACCUCACCAGGUAGGGAAAUGCUGCUCCAACUCGGGCUCUGUACAGGUGGUGCCACCAAAACCUCGCUCCUGGGGUCGCCGCAUGCGCCGCACGCAAAACUGGCGCGGGUGACGGCGCUCUCGGUGCAGACUUUCCACACUGCGUGCUGCGGUGUAAGGCCUGAGUUCCCUGGAGAAUCCAGCCUUGCUUUGCAGAUAAGUAGAUCUCCAGCACGCUUCAUUCCGCGCCUCCUGCGCGCGCCGCAGGUCGGUCUGCUGUUCAGGCCGUCCUCCACCUGCUGAGUACCAAAAUCAUUGAGGGCCGCAUGCUGCCCCUACUCACGGACCUCGCGGAAAUCCGGAGUUAAGGAGCGUCCCGACCUCCUCAAAAUUUGUCCGCAUAGUUCGCACCGCAAGAUUUGGAAGCGAGUAAACUCGGCAUUCUGUCACUUACAACACCAUAUAACGGCAAGUUAGAAAUACUCUCGCUAUCGCAUCCUGUGCCACUCAAAAACAAACCCCAAAUCAUCUAAAGUAAAGAAGUGUUUCCUACAUCUACAAACGUCCCGAUAUUACGUUGUCGUCCUCGCCAACGUAACGCUCGACCGAAGAUUAAAAGUCAAACACCCGAUUUAACUAUCCACUUUCUAAUUAUCCAAGAUACCCAAUUCAAUACUGUCGCUUACCAAAGUCAAUUAACCUCGUCUUCAGCGAGCCUAUUUCCUAUAGUCCACCAGCCUAAGGUCUGCUAGUCCCCUAAAACUCAACACUUUAGGCUCUGAUACAAAUUAACUGUCACUCUCGGAGCCCAACGUAAGCCACACGCACGGCCAGCACACCGCCAAUACGUCUAAAAAUAUUAAGGCGUCUAAAACAACAAUAAUAAAAGCAAUACUAAUAAGACAUCUAGAUAUUAGAGGCAUAAUAAAUGUCAAAUGCUUACAAUAAGGAUAAGGAUAAACUGAAAUCCAUAAAUAUCUAAGUGACGAAAUCCAGAUAUCAAGUGCUAUAGUAGAAUACAGUAGGUGCCAUCUAUACUCAUGGUACAAAACCUCUCCACUUCUCUCAAUCUAAAAAGAAGAGUAAACCACCUAAGGCAAGUAGCUCCUCCGCUAGCUACUAAGCGAUCUCCAUGCCGACGAUCCAUGCCUCCCGCCCGUGCCGAAGGCCUGAAAAGUAAACUCAUAACAAACGGGGCUUAAACUAUUAAAUAAUUCCAACAUGUGGCAAUUAACUAACUUCAGUGAAUGCACCAUCAAGGCCAAAGCUAACAAUAAAAAUGUUAGUGACUAUGAAAUGUUAGAAAAGCGAAAGUAAGUAAAAAUGUAACUUACACAACAAUAUCGUCUACUAGCAUAAUAGCAUAAGUUAGUAAGCGCAACUAUGCAUGUAAGUAAAAGUUCCAACUAUCAUAAUGUUCAACAAUGCGAAAUAGUAAAUUCCGUUUUUACUAUUCUACGUCAAUGUCCAAGUAUGUUACCUGAAUCAUUAUUUUCCACAUUCAAAUAAAUACCAAAGUCAAAUCUGAAGAAAGCCGCACCCGAUAUGCUUCAUGCCCUUGACCCACCCGUAGGCGCUGAUCUCGGUGCCAAGCCUAAGUGCCCGCUCGGUGUACGUCAUCAUCCCCACCCUAGAAUGAGCCUGUCCACACGCAAUCCCUUUGGCGCCCAAUCCGCAUCGCGAAUAUAAUCGCGAUGGCUAUCUCCGGAGUGCGGCUUGUAAGGGAGAACCCUCACAGGAAUGUCUGAAUGACAAAUGGAAAGUAUCCAAAGCGAUCUGUCAGCAAUACCAAUCCUCAUGUUAAUAAAUGGAAUAUAUGUCACCAAAUCUCAUAGCUAUCCCUAAUGUCAUCAUGUCAACUGAAAUAUAGCAAUAAUUAGUGGCCAUCAAUAUUCUCUUACUUGCAGUUUCAAUAGUUUAAGCCUAGUUUCAAGUGCCCCUUUAAUACACUUUGUUCUCUAUUCUCAAAGUAAUGGCACUAUGUUCCAACAUACAUAUUAAAAGUCAUAAUUUAUAAAGAUGUAUUUUUCACCCUUGCAAGAUAACACUUUUCCCUAUAGGCUAUCAUACCUACCUCAUAAGAGAUUAUUAUUUCACUGGUCAAAUAUAUACACUUUUCCAAUAAGCAUGCCCUUUCUACUCAUAUAGCUCUACUAUAUAGUGAAAUAUUUAUAUACACAAGGCAUCAUUUUAAGUGCUUAAAUUCAUAAUAAAUUCCAAUUUAAACUAGAAAAUUAAAAAUAUUUUACAACAAGUAGAAAAGAGCAGGGGCCAUUUCGCCCUAUUUCCUACGAACCAAACCCAGCACGAUGACAAACUGGAACUCUCGUUUUGGCUCUAACGAGGUUCUUCUAGAUCUCCUAGCUACCCUACGAUGAGGAACAAGUGCAAACAUAGGCUUACAACAAAGCGUAAGCUCAAACAUAACUCUCUAGCUCGUGGAAGAAAACUUACCGAACGCUAAAACCCCACAACGGUCCAAUAAGGAUUAUAUCCUUCAAAUCCAUAACCUAAAUCAAAGUUCUAAACCAAUCAAUUUGGUUCUAGAAGCUACUAAAUAAAAAAUCCCCAAUUCUAGCCACUAAAUCCAAAAUUAGGGUUUCAUUCAAAAGAAACUCAAAAAUUAAUCCAAAAUGGAGAAAUUAGGUUACUAACCCUCACAAGAAUGCUCAAAGAGAAGAUCCCAAGUCCCUCNNNNNNNNNNNNNNNNNNNNNNNNNUUUUCAGAGCCUUCGGCACCGGCGGAGGCACGGGAUCGCGGCAAGGGGAUCGCUUAGCUAGCUAGCGAGGAGCGGUACUUUGCCUAGGUGGUUUACUCUUUCUUUUGUAGUUGAGAGAGUGAGAGGUUUUUGUAUCCAUGUAUAGAGACCACCUAUGUAUCUACCUAUAGCACUUGUAUCUGGGAUUUUCUUGUAUCACUUUAUGAUUUAUUUAGUGAAUUUACAGUUUUAUCCUUAUCCCUUAUUGUAGCAUUUAGACAUUUAUUAUGCUCUGAUACUCCUAAAUGUCUUUUAUUAUUGCUUUUAUUAUUGUUGUUUUUAAACGCCUUAUAUGUUUUAGACGUAUGGCGGGUCUGGGCACGUGCCGGGCGGGCUUCCGCUGGGUCCCGGGGCUUGACAGGACGUGUCGGUCUCCUAUACACUGGAGUGAUGUAGGUGAGCGUACAGAGUUCGACCCCGAUGUCCUGCGAGAAGCAGAGGAGAAAGUCCGUCUUGCUCGCAAGAGGUUGCUCACGGCGCAGUCGAGACAGCAAAGCUAUGCAGAUAGGCGGCGUCGAGAUAUAGAAUUCGCGGUAGGUGACCGCGUAUUCUUGAAAGUUUCACCGAUGCGGGGUGUGAAGCGGUUUGGAGUGCGGGAAAAACUAAGCCCCCGAUACAUUGGACCAUAUGAGAUAUUGGAGCGAGUCGGCACGGUGGCCUACCGACUUGCUUUACCGCCGAAGCUUGCGGAUGUACACAAUGUGUUCCAUGUCUCCAAUCUCCGCAAGUAUAUUCACGACCCCGAGCAUGCAAUGCUAUAUGAACCGCCGGAACUUCAAGGAGACUUGAGCUAUGAAGAGUUUCCGGUAGGGAUUAUCGCCCGAGAGGUGCAAAAGUUAAGGAAUCGAGAAAUUCCCUAUGUGAAGGUCAGGUGGAGCACUCACGAGGAUCGCGAAGCCACCUGGGAACUCGAGGAUCUGAUGAGAAAACACCACCCUCAUCUGUUUGAGGAAUAAGGUAAGAAUUUAAGUUAAAGUUAAGAAUCGAGUUCGUUUCGAGGACGAAACUCUUUUUAAGGAGAGGAGGAUGUAAGGACGUGAAUUCUCGAAAUCCGAGGAUUGUACUUCAUUCAGGAUCAACUAAUUGUCGAGAGAAUAUCCUUUGUGGGAGUUGAAAAUGUCCAAAACACAAAAAGUGCUUUGGAGUUGAGUCCGCGAGAGCAAAUGGUGCAAAUUGCAUCAUUGGGCUGAUGAUACUCUCGGGGACCGGUCUCUGGAGGUGAGAAACCGGUUCCACUGGCUGGUCGUAGCGGGGUUGCUUGAUGCAACCGGUCCCUGGUAGGGAGGGACCGGUUCCCGAACGUGGUUCCAGCAAGAAAUGCCGAAAUUUGGCUAAGUCCUGAAAAUCGAGCUCUCGGGGACCAGUCUUUCAGGUGAGGACCGGUCUCCGGGGAAGAGACCGGUUCCCGAACGCGUGCGCCCGAGGGAGGCCCUCAGGAAUCGGUCCCAAGUCGGGGAGACCGGUCCCUCCGCACGAAAUCUGCCCAGUAAGAGCAGUGUAUAGGAUUAAAAGUUGAGGGAUUUUUAUGCAAAAUGGCAUUAGUUAGGGAGGGGAUUAGAGGGGCUGAGCCCUCUUCCUCUCUCACCCUCACUCAUACUUUCUCCCUCUCUUAUUCUCUCUUGCUCUUUCUCUCUCUCUAGAAAAGAAAGGAGAAGAAGAAGAACAAGAAGGAGAGGAAGGAAAAGAAGGAGAAGAACAAGAAGGAGAAGAAGAAGGAGAUCAAGAGGAAGGCUUUGGACACCUUCAUCUUCCUCUCCUCUUCUCUUUAGUGUAGCACAAGAGGUAGGCUCUUGAACCCUAGCUUCUAGAAUUUAGGGUUUUGGGUUUUUAUGCCUUGGAAUGGGUCAAAUGGACCCUAAGCAUGCUUCUAAAUAGAUCAAUCCCAAGAAUCUAGAAAUUUAUUGAAUGGUUUGCUAUGGGUGCAAACUUAGGGCUCCAAAAUGGGGUUUUUGUGAAAGUAUGAGAUUGAUCUCAUUUGAAGCCUUGGAAACCCUAUUGUUAGGUCACAAAACGUGGGGGCGAAGUCGGUUUUAGCAUUCGACGAGCCGGCGUGAAGUUCUCGGCAAAAUAGGGCCGGGUUAGCAUCGACUUGGGCAAGGAAGGCUAAAGCCUUUUCGUGAAGUUCGCCGAGGAGCGUUUCCAAAGCCUCUACAUUGAUAAAAGGUGGGGGGUGCCAUCUCGAAGCUUUCGAACUCCUUUCUAUAUCUUAGAUUGCAUUUAAUCUCAUCUCUUACAUGUUGCAUUGUAGGAUUGCAUAGUAGCUCCCUUCCUUAUGCUUUCUAAAUGAUAACCUAGUGUACUUGGAACGCUUGGUGACUUAGAUAGGUGAGGAUUGGGUCGGAACAUGGAUUCUAUGAUGCGAAAGAAAAGAGAUGAACCCGAUGGGGGAUGUUGAUGACAUAGAAAGUAGUGUUAAUGUCAAAGAACAAACGAGUGGCAUCUAAACGCUAAAUGAUGACGAGUGGCAUUAAUGUAGUGUAAAUGACACUAGAGGUUUGAGAACCUAGGGAUAGGUGGAUCCCUUAGAAAAUGCCCUGUGGACAAGAACUUAGUAAACCUAAGUAGCCUCACAUGGAGAGGUUGGCGAUGAGUCGAUUGAGACAUUGACCCUAGUGGUAGGGCAUCCUCACUUGGAGAGGAUUUGAUUGGGUUGUGGACCCUAGUGAUAGUGCUUCCUCACUUGGAGAGGAUUCGAUUAGAUUAUUGACUCUAGUUGUAGAGCAUUCUCACUUGGAGAGGACUUGAUUGAGUUGUUGACCCUAGAUGUAGGGCAUCCUCACUUGGAGAUGAUAGAUCUAGCUCACAGUCUGCGUUUGGGAUGGUAUAGCCAUCCAAUCCCCACAUGGAGGGGAUUGUCGUCGAGUACUCCGGAGUGUCGCGCGACUAGGACCACUUGGAGGUCCGGACCACAUGGAGGUCCGCAGACGGUCCCGGGCUUGGGUGCACUUGGAGCUCCCUCCCCACUUUGGGAUUGAAAGGUGAGUUAUAGGCGAACCCUAGGGCUUCGCCACAAAUUAGGUAAAUGAAAAGGUAAAGGUUUAAUAAUGUCAUUGAACAUUGCUAUUCGAACAUGGAUCGAAUUUGUUAGCAUGGUAGCAAACCUUUAUUAAAUGAUGCAUGCAUUCAUAUUCUUGAUUAUGGGCAUAGUAGCAUAGUUUUCCUACUAUCGCAUUUACAGUUUUCAGAUACAUAUCUAUCUAUCUAUCUGUUGUUACUUGUGCCUACUUGGACCUAGUGGGGAGAUCGGCAGAGUCGGCGGCCGAGCCCACUGGGAACUAUGGAAGAUAGUUCUCACCCUACUCUAUUUCCAGUGGUAGGUACAGGGCUGCCGAGAGAGGACCGCGGCAAAGGCAUCGCGCCCGAUCAGUGAGACCGUGGUAGUAUAGUAGCUUUCCUUUUUGCAUUAGUACACCUAUGUAUUGAGAGAGAUUCAUUGUAGGUGAGGACUUGGAGAGCUAUGUAUUUUAGAGAUGAAAAAUGUAUUCAUUUAAAGAAAAUGAUGUAAAUGAAAAUGAUGGAACUAUUGUAAUAGUUAGUAAAGUACUCUCUUUAUUUCACAUGUGUACCUUGUGGAUUGCUUGCUCUUUGUAUUGUUGGCACUGUUUGUACCCUUGCGGAUGUGUAUGUUUAGAAUUUAAAUUCCCGGGUAAAUUCUUGUACACAUUCCCGUUGUUGAGCCUUGGGCGGACAUGGGAGGUGCUGUAUGUUCGGCGGUCCGCUCGCCGCGCCCGAAUCGUGCCAAAUUGGUAGUGGUUUCGGGGCGGGACCUGACAGUAAUAGUCACUAGCAACCCAUCGGUCUAGUUCUAUGUCUCAAAGUGAAGUUUCAACAUUCACUAAAUUUAAUGCCUCUUUAUGACAUUAGAACAUUACUAUAUCCAAGCAUAUUCCAAAUUCGAUGCCUCUUUAUGGCAUUAUUAGUAGGAUCAUACAUAACUCAAGCUCAAUGUCGCCUUAUGACAUUAGCUCACUAAUUCACACAUCAUUCAAGUCUAAUGCCUAAACCCAACAUGAAUAAUUCUCUACUACAUAGAGGUUCAAAUAUACUUUGUAUAUAACAUGUGCAUUCUAGGCAUUCUAAAAUUCACAAAUAUUACAUCUAGUAUGAAUAUGCAUAAAAUUUUAUUUUACGACAAGUAUAAUCAUCAUAUGAGAAUUUUUAUCUCAUUUUGGUGAGGCCAAACCCACCAAGUCUCAUCGAAAUCCUUUGCUUGCGCAAAAGGAGUUGUCCACUAUUCUCCUAGCACCCUAAAGGUAAUAAAAGGAGAGUUAAACAAACAUUACGAACAUCCCUAUGGUCGAUUAUUAACUAUAACGUAUCGAAACCUCGAUAGCGAUUAUCGAACUUUAGCCAAAUUGGUUAAAGUGCCGAGAGAAAUGGAUAGACAAAGUCCGGUUGACAUUCCAACAAUGUUGGAAGGGUCAAAGUCGAGUCCCGAGAGUGUUAAGCAAGUUUUAGCAUUGCUCGGCGUGAUUUAAAAGUGAACAAUGCGAAAGAAAUAGUUGGGUAUGUUCCAUUAAGCGUUCCAACAAUAUUGGAAGGGUUAAAAAGGAGUUCUAAAAGAGUUAAAAGGGUCUUAGCAUCAAAUGGCGCGAAAUAGAAUAAAAAACGGCGCAAAAUCAGCAUUCUGGGCAAAGUGUACCGGUACAACCAUCGAGUUGUCACCGGUACAACCCUGCAGACCGAGAAGAGCUUGCUCUCGGGUUUGAGAGAAAAAUCGAAAGUGUACCGAUACACUUUAAAAGUGUACCGGUACAAAUCCUGCGUAACCGAGAAACAUGCUUUCGGGUUGGCCUCUGCGCAAUCGUGUAUUGGUACAAAUCCAAUGUGUACCGGUACACUUUGGUCUGGCAGCACCAAUUUGGUCUGCUGCAAAUAAAAAGAAAUGGGGGGCCUAGAUGCAAUUGUAGUACCUUAUAAAACACCCCAACACCUCUCUCUCCCUCUCCCACAGCAAACACACACCUCUUCUCUCAUUUCUCUCUUUCUCUUUCUUAAGAUCACUUCCAAGAGCCAGGAGGUGAAGGAGGAGAAGGCUUUGGAGGGAUUUUUGGUGGUUUUGAAGGCUUGAGAUCUCUCCUACAAGGUGGACAUUGGAGAGCUUUGGGCUAAGGUGAGGUGUUUUGUAACAAUAGGUCUAGGGUUUGGUUAUAUGCCCUAGAAAACUAGGUUUUGUUCUUCUCUCAUGUAUAGAAACCUAGUAAUGGCUUAGAACACAUGAAAACCCUAGUUUUCUUCAUGUGCUCUAAUGGUGAAUUCCUAGGGUUUGCUUAUUAUGCCCUAGAAAUGAUUUAGAUAGUUCUAAAUGAGCUUCUAGAUGUUGAACAAGCUCUCUUUUGCUUGUUUUAGAGAUCAAAAUCUAGAUUUGAGCAAAUGGUGUUGUUAGGGCACCAAAUUUAGAGCUUUUGCCCUAGGGAGUUUCUAAGGCAAAUUAACCUUGUACAAAACCUAAUUGGGGGUAUUCCCGACACGUUGUGCAACUCGGUUUGACGUUACGAAAAGCCUAUGUAGGAGUUCUAAGUAUUAAGCCUAAUUUGGCUUCGUUUUGCCGCAGGCGAUAAAGUAGAGCUUCAAAAAUUCCAAGAAAUUCACCGUAGCACCUUUGCAACCAUACAAGGUGGGUGAUGCAUACCAAGGACCUCGGAAUUCCUUUUAUAUCUAAAGUGUCAUAUUUAAGCAUAUGUAUGUAUUGAGCAUAUUGCAUAGUAGGGGUAAUUGUGAGCUUCUUAUCGCAUGUUGUUGGUUCAAAUACAUGUGAAAUGCUAAUGAGACAAUGAGAAUUUAUAAACCCUAUGUAUGCAUGAUAAGUGACAAGAACCUAGCGGACUUAGUAAACAAAUAUGACAUGUGGAUAUGAGUCGUAGAGAGUGGCAUCUACUAGUCUUGAACACUUAGAGAACAAGUGUGGCAUCAUUAUAUGAGUACAAAGAUCAAGCAGUGUAUAUGACACUAGUAAAGGUUAACGAAUGCAAGUAUACAAAGGUAGCGACAUUAUGACAUAGCAACCUUAGAGUUAAGGGUCAUAUGUGUAUUACUUUCUUAUAGUUAAGGAAUGGAUUGAAGUUGACAUUCUUAUAGUUAAGGAUUGGAUCAUACUCACCUGUAAGUCCUUACUCGAGGGUGGUAGCUCCCCUUCGAGCGAUGUGCUCCGGAGUUGUCAUCACUGGAUCGUAGCGAGUAUCUCCCCAGAGGACAGUCCCGUCGGGUUGUAGCGGGUAUCUCCCCGAUAGUAGGGAUUUGGUUGGUGAGUUGUUGAGGGCGAAACCUACGGGUUAGCCAAGAGAUUGGGCAAUGAGAUUGUGAUCUUGCAUUCAUCAUCAGCAUACUAUUGAGCAUUGCAUUGAUUAUUGUUCAGGCAUAUUAGCUGCAUUUGUAUAGUUUGGUUACUAUCUAUAUCUCUUUUCUUCUAUUAUGUCUGAUUUAGACCUAGUGGGAAAGUCGGCGUGGUUGGUUGCCGAACCCACUUGAAACUUUGUUGUAGUUCUCACACCCCAUUUUUCACAGAGCCGGGACCGAGCGAGCUGGCAGACGAUCGCGGUAAGAGUAUUGCGCCCUAGACAGAGACCGCCCGAGAUACUUUACAUUUUGUAGUUGCAUACCCCUUUUAUAUAUAUCAUCUUUUGUACUUGGACGAUGAUUAGGGAUGUUAGAGCAAAUGUAUUAAAGAUACUUUACGAUGUUAAAUGUAAAGGUUUAUUUUGGAGAUUUGAGAUGUACAAAAGAAAUGAUGCAAAGACUGUAAAAGAACUUCGAAGUUGAAUGCAUAUAUGUGAUUUAAAUUUAAUCAUAGUGCUUGUAUGUUGAUUAGUUAGCACUUUCACUUUGGCUAUUGCUUGCCCUCGUGCAAGCCAUUAUGUAUGCUUCCGCAAGUACAAAUUUUAUACUCUAUCUGUACCUGUUGUUGAGCCUUGGGCGGACAGGGGAGGCUCUGUCCGUUCAGCGUCUGUUCGACGCACUCGAACCGGCCAAAAGGAUCGGGCUCGGGGCGUAACAUUAACCAUCUCAAGAAAAGGGACAAAACUCACCUAUAGAGUGGAAAGCCCUUCUCGAACUCCAAAUGGGAGCUAGAACCCUUCGAAUCCAACCUAGAGGAAGGUUCUAAUCCAAACAAUUGAGCUCCAAAAGCCCUAAAUCAAAAAUUCCCAAAUUAGACCCUAAUUCCUCAUUUCUAGGGUUUCUACACAAAAACCAUGAAAAUCAUGAUCUAUAGGGGAAAAGUAUGCAACUAACCUCUUUAGAUGCUCCAAAAGACCUAAGAAACCAGCUAGGGUUGAAGAUCUUCCCUCUACCAAGCUUCAAACACGAACUCAAGGCUUCUCCAAUGGUGGAAGUUGCACCAAGAAGCAAAAAGAGAAGAUUUAGCCACCAAAAUCCAAGCAAAAAGAGGAAAAAAUCAAAGAAAAUGGAGAGCGAGCUCACCUCUCCUUCUUUCCUGUUGCAACACAAGAGCCCCAUCCAAGAGGUGUGGGGGAAUAUAUAGUGUUGCUACAAUUACAAAGAAAUCCCUCAAAAACUGUCAGACUGCAGUUUGCAAAGUGUAUCGGUACACAAAAAAGUGUACAGGUACAAAUCCAUAAUACGCGCGAACCCAAGGCUCGGGUUAGGAGAAACAGCAAUGUGUACCAGUACAAAUCGAAUGUUGUACCGGUACAACCUCUUGUUCCGGUACAACUUCAAUGUCGUACCGGUACAACACCCUACAGACCCCAACCCGAGAGCGGCCUAAGUUCUUCUCUUUGGAGACCUUAGGGCUAAGUCAAAAAUCUCGUUUCUCAGGAUGCGAGCCAUAGGUCGGUACACUGUCAACGACUCUCCAGAAUAGCUAGAAAAACUCGAAACAUAGGUCAAACACUCGAACCUCACAAUUUGCAAAGGUCCAGUGUGUUACACGCCUUAUAUGUGUAGGCAUAUGGCAGGUCUGGACACGCACCGGGCGGGCCUCUGCCGGGUCCCGGAGGGUGACAGUGUUGGCCGCGGCUUUUCCUCCGUCGUCAUCGUCGCCUUAGCUGGCCGUCGCCCUCUUGGGUCCUUUCUCAUCCACCUCGACCGCUCUUGGCCGGUGUCUACCUUUCUUGGCCGCCAAAGCCCGAGAGAAAGGAGACCAACCUUGGACUACCCAAGCUAAGGCUCGCUAUUGACCAACUAUACUAUUCCGGUCAUUCUCGCGAAAUGCCAUAAUGAGAUGCUUCACAUUGUGGUCAUCCCAAACAACGUGAUUUCAGUUUUGGAGUAUCCAUACAUGCUGUAUAAAGCCCGGGAAUAUCUUGGCUCGAAGCUCGUAGCGAUCGACAAGUGAAACGGUGCCCGUACACAUGUUCUAGUAUGCUUUUGGCCGUGUUUUCGCAAAGUAGGUGAUCGUUGUUGAUCACAAUGAUUGGUGGGCAUUAUUUGCUAGUUGGGGACUCAUUGUUGUGAAGCUCAGGCAAUCGAGUGACCAUAGACGGGUUCCGGAGCCAAAACAACACCUUUUUGGAACUGUAACAUACCAGAUUUUGGUAUAAAAAUAAAAAUAAAUAAAAAUAGUAUGAGAAACUAUUUUUAUUGGAUUUAUAGAAGCAAAACAUAAGUCAGAAGUGACUUGUGCUGAAAUCGGAAUGAAAACAGAAGAUUUAGAAUUUUCUGUUGAAAACGGGACAGAUAAAUUAGCAGAAAAUACACAGUCUCAGAAAAUUAUGAAAAUUGGAGGAUAAGUCAGAAAUAUUUUUAUGAGGCUAGAUUUAAAGUUUCAUAUUUUUCUGACACCCGAAAGGUGGAAAAUAAAAUCCGACAAGUUAUCUGAUAAAGAUUACAGUUCGGUACAGUUUUCGGUGACCAAAUGGGGUCGAAACUGAAAACUUAAGAUAUAUUCUUACUCAGUACGUUAAACUGAGACUGUCUGUCAAAUUUGAGCUCAAACGGACACUCAGAAGGGCCCCAACUGUUCCGAACUGCUAAACUGCCCUCGAGUGAAUAGUGUUGGAGGGUGUUAAUUAUAUAAGAAGCCUUUGCUUCUUCUCCUCCAGCCGACCACACACAUGCGCCACACCCACACACACGCAUGGAAAGGGAAAGAGAGAACCCACCCUUUCUCUCUCUAGAUCUCUCCCAAAAUUGAAGGUUUUGGUGGAGAAGCAAGCUUGGAAGUUGAUCUUCAUCUUCUUCGUCUUCUUCUUCUCCCUUGGAGCUAGCUUAAGAGAUAAGCUUUGAUGCCCUUUAAUGGUAGAAUUGUAGGGCUUCAAUUAUAUGCUCUAAGAAUGAAUUUAGUGGAACUCCUAGAUGCUAAAUAGAGGAUUAAUGCUUGAAUCAUGAAGCUAUAUGAUGAUUUCUUGCAUAGUUACAACCUAGGGCUCCAAAAUGCAAUUUUUGCUAAUAGAUGGGUUUGAUCUAUUUUGACCCUAUGUAAACCUAAUUGCUAGGUAAACGAACGCGUUGGCGAAGUCAGUUCGGCGAUUCGUCGAGCCGUUGCGAAGUUAUUAAAGAAACGGACGUUUAGGCUUCGUUUCUGCCUGGAGGGCCGAGGCGACAUCGUAAACUCAUGAAAAUGGAUUUGAAGCACUGUGGCACAUAACCGAAGACCUUUAAUUUUCGGAUCAUGGAUUGGAGGCCGUUCGGGUGGUCGCGCGAGCGAUCGGGCCAAACCGGGUGCCAGGUGCCGCGGUAGGCCGAUUGCAAGUGUCGACAAGCAAUCGGAAUGCGAAAUGAGGUGGGUUGUGCUUACCGAAGCGACUAGGUCGCCUGUAUGUCUAAGUAAAGUGAAUUCGUGUUGAUGCAUAUAAAUGCUAGAUGGAUGCAUGUAGUAAAUGCUAAAGAAAAUGCAUGCUAAAGAUGUAAUAUAAAUGAUGCUAGUUAAAAACAUGAGAUAAAUGACAUUUGCAUGUUAACAAAAAGUAGAGAACAUGCUACUUGUAAAGUAUAAUGAUAAGUUGUAAAGGAUGCUAAAUAAAUGCAUGAAUGAUGUGGUAUAGAAAUGCUAGAAUAUAUGCAUUGGUUAAUGUUAGUUGGAUGCAUGUCAUGGAAAUGCUAAAUGUAAGCAUGUGGCUAAUACUAAGAUAUACUUGAUAAUCAUGUUAUAGAGAUACUAAUAUUAAGAAAAGGAUAUGGGCAUGUGGACAUAUAUAUAUAUGCACAUAGAUCGAGUGGCAUUAAACCUAGAGUCAUGGAUAUAGGUUGAAUAUGGAUGAUAUGAACCUAGUGUCAAAGAACAUAGGUUGGACAUCAAGUGGCAUUAAACCUAGUGUCUUGAACAUAGGUUGAACAAGUAUAGUGUGAACCUAGUGUCAUGAACCUAGCAAAUACUUAUGGUAUUUGAGCAUACAUAUUUUGUAUCAUUCAUGCUUGAUAGGACUAAGUACAUGUGAACCUUGGUUGCUUUCAAUGACAUGUUCUAACGUAGUUGAACAUAGAGAAUGGUAGAACCAUAAUGGAUAUGUAUGUUAGGAUCCCAUAAUUGUGUGAAUGUGAGAGUUGGACUUGGACAUAGUAAAUAAAGGUGACAUGGACAAUAGAGACAUUGAUUAGCAUAGAGAACAUAAUUGUUAAAUAUAGUUUAACCAAGAGUGGCAUUGAGACAGGAAUGACCUAGAGAGCGGCAUGAAUAAAUAGGUAGAAAACCUAUUAUGAUUGUGGCAUUUGUGGAAUUGUGGUUUAUGGCUAUACUUUCCCAAAUUGGGAAUUGGAUCAUACUCACAUUGAGUCUUGGCUUGAGGGCGGUAGGUCCCCCUCAAGCGGUGCAUUCCGGAAUUGUCACCACGGGAGCGCGGUUCCUAAAGACGGUCCCUCGGGUCUUGCAGUGCUUAGAGCCUCCCCGAUCAAAAGAGAUUUUGGGUUAUGAGUUCGAGGGGAACUGGGUGAACCUCGAUGCAAUUGGGUAAAAGCCAAGUGAAUGUACAUUAAGCGUUAUGAGCUAUAGAUUGAGUAUCCCUGUCGAGUGGAUUUGGGGCUGAGGUGUAUGUGAGACGUCCAUUACCUCGAGUCUGGUAUUGAUGCGGUAUUCCGCAGUUGAUUGACUCGAGACCGAGUCGGUUGGUUAGCUUGGCUAGGGUAGAGGAAAACCUUAGGAGCAAGUAACCAAUGAUUGUAAAGUGACAAGAUGUAUAAAAUUAUGGAAAAGCUAUGAAUAGCAUGAUAGAAAGUAAAAUCCUUCAUUCUACUUGUAUAGUUGCAUGAUUCGUAUAUAGCAUGGCAUUAUUGCAUUCGUGAGGCAAGGCAUGGUUUUAUUAGUUGCAUAAUAAAGAUAUAUAUAUCUAUCUGUUUAUUGAACUAACUUGCAGUUGCCUCCCUUGGACCUAUUGGUCGAGCUUUUCCCUUGGGUGGCCGUAUCCACUGGGAAUCAUGGAAUUGGUUCUCACCCCACAUUAUUUUGGGGUGUUACAGGUUCACACGUGAGCGGCGCGGCGGCGCGAGGCGAGGGCGUAACUCCAUAGUUAGCGCCCUACCACCGAGACCAGAGAUAGCGGUACCCUGAGUCGGCUUUACUUAGGGAUGUAAGAAAAUGAAAGGAAUAAGAUUGUAAUAAUUUGUAAUAAAAGCAUGAUUGUAUUUGAAAGUUAAAUGUAUAAUAAAAUUGUGAUGUAAAAUGUAUCUAAAUAAUGUGAAUGCUUGUAAUAGCAAGUAGAUUAUGUUUUUGAUACUUUCUUAUGCAAUCUUUGAUUGAAAUGUGUUCAUGGUUGGAACUUCGUACAUUGUAUUGAUUGCGACACCUUGAAUGUACAGAGGAGACUCUGUCCGCGGUACAGGAAAAACCCUGUCCGUUCGGCGGUCUGUUGCGACGCCGCGACCCAGCCAAAUAGGCGGGCGGUCGUGGGGCGUGACAGGAACCUUGUAUAGCUAAUUGUGGGGUUUUUGCCCUCGAAUUGUACUAUUUGGUGUGCGGCUGUCUCGAUACUCAAAAGUUAGUGUCCUGGUACAAAAUGGGAGUGUCAAGUGCUGUUCGAAGUGCUUCAGAUUACUCCGGGGUUGAAACAGACCCUAAAAUAUGAGCAAUCGAGAAAUUUUAGAUAUAGAAUCACAAAUUGUGUGAUGCGACUAUUUGUAGCAGUGUUUGGGCCUUAUAUGUUGGUCAUCCUUAAUAUCUUGUGUGUUCGGAGAUAGUAGGAGGGUUGAUGGUUGGUUCUAGAGUCGAAUUGGCAUGCCGUAGAUCCCAACGUAGUUCGGUUGAUGUUUUACAUACUUGUUUGCAUCACAUUUGUGUGUUGCUACCUAGGCACCCAAGUAGGUGUGCUUCAGGGCAGCGGAUGAUAUUUUGUGAGCUUUGUUACUCUUUGGGACAUUUCAUGGGAUUCGAAAGGGUUACAGUGUGUUGUCGGGUAUUUCCGGCAGGUUUCGAGAUUCAGUAAAGGUACCGAAUCUCAGUUGGUUUUCCGGGUUGUGUGAUAGGUAAUUUUAUGUCUCUUAGGGUUUGUUCAUAUCGAUUGUGAUUCUGUAGAUUUUUUAUAGGUCUAGGUAAUAUGUUGGAGCAUUGUUCGAGCUCGGUGCUCCACUAGAUUACAGGUGGGUACUUCGAUUCGAAGUCGGUCUAACGGGGCAGGCUCGGUGACUUCUUCUUUUUUUCCUUUUCUGUGGCUACAUAACUUAUCAUGAUUAUAUAUUCAGUAUCUUGCAUACUACUUGGUAUUCGUUGGUCUACUCUACUCUUGUUUCAUCUUGUAGCAUCAUGAUUGAUCUAGUUGUAAAGUAACAUUUUAGUGAUUGAUUAUCAUUGCAUGACUCCAUGAUCGGUGACAUUCAUACAUAGUGAUACGGUUAUAUAGACCUUAUAGGUUAGUGACACGGUGAUAUUCCUUCGGGAAUAUCAGACCUGGUUUGAUUCGAUAUGGUUGUAGAUUGUUGGUUCGGCUAUCUGCCGUUGUUGGCCGUUGAGCAUAUUGCAUCGAUCGCCAUAGCUUAUGAGUAUUUCAUGUACACCAGCGGUCUGAUCCACCGCAAGAGGAUAUUCUUUUCCAGAAAAUUAGUCGUACUUCUGACCCGUGAACUCUAGCGGCCUAUUGCUAGGGCCAUAUGCCAUUUAGAGCAGGCGUGGCAUUGCCUCAGGUUUUUAGACCAAUACGGCAGUUAAUUGGGUGUACUUGUACUAUUGAUUUUAGUUGACGCGUAGUUGUUUCUCCAUCUUCCUUUGUAGUUGCGGUUGUUCAUACUAUUGUUGCAGUUAUUUUCAGUUCAGUUAUCGUUGCUACCGCUCUAUUUUGACUGCUGAUUAUAGUUGUUCGUUACUUUAUUAUCUCACUUUACAGUAGUAGCUUGUUUUGUGAUUAUUGGUAGUUGUUAUUCAUUAUUAUUAUACCUGAAUUUGUUAUUACUAUUGUCAUUCCUUCCGUCUGCCGGUGUGUACAACUUACUAAUCGUCAGCUUACGAUACCUACUUGGAGGGGGAGACUUAUUUAUAUGCUCUCAGCCCCUAACUAUUUUUCAGGUAGCUCGGGUGAUGAGGGUCCAGACGGUGUGUGAGGACGAUUCUAGAUAGCGGUGUUUCGGAUUGGUCCCUUGUCGACAUCCACAUUCGUAGCCCUAGCUUAGUUCUCGAGUUUUGUUAUUAGUGUGGAUCUUUUCGUUGGUUUAGUAUGUAUCUACUAAUUAGAAAUAGUGAUUACAUGGUGGAUCUAAUCUUUGGUCAUCUGAUUUUUAUGCGGAUUAUUAGUUUUCCGCAAUUAUCUCCUUAUUAUAGUUAUUGUAUCUCUGUAUGAUUGUGGUGUGGUUGAUGUUUGUACUCUUGUGCUACACCGUGCACGUAUAGAAGAGGUCUAUGUGGUGGGUUUGUGUGCGCCAUGAGAGAUUUUUAAGGGUGUUAAAACAAAAAAUUAUGCGUUUUCCGCUUGUUUUUUCUUAAAAGGAUUCUCAAAAGAAUCCCGGGCGUGACAUUAUAAGUUUAUAACUAUAAUGUACAUAAGAGUAUUUUGAAAAAUUUUUAAUUAGUUAUAAUAUAAUUUUUUAAUCUUAAAAUUUUUAACAAUUAUAUAUUUUAAUUGAGUGAAAUAUUGUCUACCCGCUGCGAACCACAGUGUAACGCACUGGACCUUGCAAAUUGUGGGGUUCGAGUGAUUGAGUGCGUUCUGAACUUUUCCAGACUUUCUGGUAGGUCGUUGACUGUGUUCCGACCUAUGGUUCGAGUCCCGAGAAUUGUGGUUUAAAACCUUGCAUCAAAAUCCAAAAAUUUGGAUUUUUGGUCAGCUCUCGGAUAGCCUUCAGCAGGCCAUGUACCGGUACGAGUUCACUUGUUGUACCGGUACGGGGUUGAUGGCUGUACCGGUAUGGGCCCGCGUACCGGUACACAGACGGCUUUUCGGCCAAACCCGAGGCUCGGGUUUGCGUUUUCGUGGGUUGUGUACCGGUAUACAAACCCGUGUACCGGUACACAGUGCAGAUUGGGGCUGUUUCGUGGAGGGGUGUUUUUGCAAUUGUUGCAACACCUUUAUAAGUGACCCCAGCCCCCUUGGCUGCUCUCCUUGAGCUCUAAACAGGGAGAACAAGGUGAGUCUUCUCCUCUUGGUUUGAUCUCCAUUUUUUGGUGGUUUUUAUGGGUUUUGAUCUCUCUCCUUCUCUCCUUUUUGCUUUUUGCGGGUUUGCGACCAUUGGAGAAGCUUGAGAUCUUGGUGGGAGCUUAUUUGGAGAUCGUUUUACUACUUGCCAUUGUGCUCAUUCGCACAUGCUUGUGAGGGUCGCUCCCUACAAGCCGGCAUUCCGGAGAUAGCCAUCGCGAUUCAUAUUCGCCGUGCGGAAUUGAGCGCCGAAGUGGAUUGCCGCGGGACAGGCUUAUUCCUAGGGUGGGGAUGAUGACUACCACGGGGCCAUUAGGCUCGGCACCGGCCAGACAGCCUACGGAUGGAUUUUAGGGCCAUAGACAGCCUUCGGGUGGGUCUCUUCAGAUUUGACUUUGAGUAUUCAUUAUGACAUGUGGACAGAUGAUGACUUAGCGUACUACUUGGACAUUGACUAGAAUAGUAAACAACGAAACUUUACUAUUUCGCAUUGUGAACAUUAUGAUAGUUGGAGACUUUUACUUCAUGCAUAGUUGCUUCAUAUUUAUGCUAUUUAUGCUAAGUAGAGAUAUCAUGUUGUAGUAAGUUACAUUUUUACUUACCUUUCGCUUUUUUAUAUUUAUAGUCACUGACAUCUUUUGUAGCUUUGGGCCUUGUGGUGCAUUCACUGAAGUCAGUAAUUGCCCACUGGGAACUAUUUUUAAUAGUUCUCACGCCCUCGUUUUAUUGUUUACUUUUCAGAGCCUUCGGCACCGGCGGAGGCACGGGAUCGCGGCAAGGGGAUCGCUUAGUUAGCUAGUGAGGAGCGGUAUUUUGCCUAGGUGGUUUACUCUUUCUUUUGUAGUUGAGAGAGUGAGAGAUUUUUGUAUCCAUGUAUAGAGACCACCUAUAUAUCUACCUAUAGCACUUGUAUCUGGAAUUUUUUUGUAUCACUUUAUGAUUUAUUUAGUAGAUUUACAGUUUUAUCCUUAUCCCUUAUUGUAGCAUUUAGACAUUUAUUAUGCUCUGAUACUCCUAAAUGUCUUUUAUUAUUACUUUUAUUAUUGUUGUUUUUAGACGCCUUAUAUGUUGUAGACAUAUGGCGGGUCUGGGCACGCGCCGGGCGGGCUUCCGCUGGGUCCCGGGGCGUGACACACAGACCCUACACUAGUACAUAACGAAGAGGGACGGCAUACUUCUCUCACACGGUCCGAUCUCAUAGACCGUGUGCUGCGCUCAAGAUACGUGCCGUGUGUUUCACCUUUUGGGUUUUGAUUUCUGCUCUUUUUGAGCAGAAAACGAAACAAAAAAUUUUUCAAGAAUCCGUAAAAAAAAUUUUUAGAAAAAUUUUACAGACAACCAAAUAUUCGGAAAUUCGGGACAGUUUUAUAAGCAACCAAAUAAAUCCUAACUGAAAAAAUAUUUUCAUACCGAAUCAGCCAUACUGGGUUGGUUUAUGGGUCGGAGGUUAGUUUAUGGGUCGGAUUUUAUACAACGGAUUUGGGUUUCGGACCGACUCUUUUAAGUGGAAAAACAAAACAAAACAAAACAAAACCCUAUGGCAGUCUCUCUCAAUCAACCGACCUCUCCCAUCCGUCCGCUCGAUCGCUCCCUCUCUCUCUCACUCUUCCAAGAAGAACUGAAGAAGCAAAGGCAGCGGCGAGCGGCGACAAGGCGCAGUUACCGGUAGCCGACGAGUGCGGAGAUCGAGCGAGCGGCCCCCCCUUCUCCCUUUCCCCUCUGCGUAGGCGAGCCAGCCCUCCAACCUCGUUCCUUUCUCCGUGCGUGUGAGAUCUCUCUCUCUCUCUCUCUCUCUCUCUCUCUCUCUCUGUGUGUGUGUGUGUGUGUGUGUGUGUGUGUGUGUGUGGUGUGUGCGGUGUCCUCCCAGAUCUCUAUAUCUCCCUGUGUGUGUGAUUUCCAUUUCCUCCCUAAACUAUAAGUCAUUUUGCAGUAGGCCCUCAACCGUCAACAUUCGACAAUCACUCCCGCAGUAAAGGAGUUUUACAAGUUUAUGAAGUUUGACCUCCGUUAGAUAAUCUCCAAAACAACAAGCGUGAAUCUAAUUUAGGUGCAUGCUUAUUUUUUUAAUCAUAAGAAUUUAAGUCCUGAAGGUUGUUAUAUGUAACAAUUUAGUCCUUUCCCAAGUACACUGUAGACUAGGCGCCUCGCAAGAAUUAGCAUCAGACUUUGCAUUUUAGAAUAGAAACUUUGAGGAGUUACUUAUAAUUGGAAUCAAACUUCAGCCCUAAAUUAUUUAUGUUUUUGAUUAAUUUGUUCUAUUACGUUUUUGAAACAAAACUCUAAUUUAUUUUUUUUCUACUUAAUGUCUAAGAGUAAACUGCUAAUUAUUAGUUUAGUAAGUACAUGUGUGCAUAUGAGCUCUGUUAUUUGAAGUUAAUUAUUUCAAUUUGUGAAUUUUUAGUUGUUACUUUAAUUAUUUUGCCUUGUUAGGAAGCAUUUAUAUAUAUGUUUGGUACCUAGAAAUAUAUUUUUGUAUAUUUUAAUAGCUGGACUGUAUGUGCGCCCGCUUACCGCAUACCCACUAUACGGUGGGUAACCGCAUGGAUACUGCAUACUGUAUUUUGGAACGUUGAUUAUCAGUACAGAUGCUUUGAGUUUGGGGGUGAAUAUCUCUACAUAAUUAUGUUAAAAGAAUUAUAAUACAUAAUUACACUAUUGGUGUUAUUUCACAAAUUUACGUUAAAAGCAUUAUAAUACCAUUUAAUUUCACUUGACUUUAGAACUGAUUAGGCAAACUCCUCAACCAAUUUAAACUGAUUUAGAAGUGACACCGAAAAACUAUAUAACACAAGAGUUUUGUUGUGUAAGGUUUAUUGCUAGGGAACAAAAAUCCAUAAACUGGUACGGUAAACGCCCCUACUAGGGUCUACAGAGGAUGGCAAGCAGUGUCGUUGAGAAGACGGUGGAGGAGCUUCGCAAGGAGAUUCAAGAGCUCCAUCGCCAGCAACGAGAGGUCUCUUGAUUUCUCUCUCUAUUUUUAUUUACAUGCAUUAGAACUUGUGUUUAAGUUCCUUCAUAAUCUCUUUCUUGACCCUUAUCAGUCUUUGCUCUUUGCAGAUCAGUGAGAGACUCCGAGACCCGAGAGGCCUCCGUCGCUCUGGUGUGGCCUCUGGCAGUCCCCGCCCAAUUGGAGGAGGUCCCCGCACUCGCAGUCUCAUUCGACCAGUACAAUCUACUUGUUCUUCUUCUGACUUUAUAUUAGUUCUAUUUCUUUUUAUGUGAAAAUACUUGAUGCAUCUCAGGCGGUAGCGGCAGAAUCUGAGUACCAGCCACCACCUAAACGAAGGCUUUUAUCGACUGUUGUGAAGGUAUUUAGCAUACAAAACUAAUUUCUUGAUGUUGUUUUUGCCCCAAAGUCAAUAAUUUCUUUGCUUGGGUUAUUUUGUUACUGGAGACUGAUGGAGAAGAGGAUAAAGUGGAUGACAGCGGAACAAAGGAUGAGAAGGAGCUCAUUGUAGAAGAAGAGGCUGAUGUUUUUGGGGGCAAAAAUAGCAAGCCAGCUGCUUCAAAUGCACAUGGCAAUGGCAGGCUCAGGCGGGAUGGCAAUCUGCAGUCACGAAAGAUAGUGAGGAGCCGCUUUACUUCUUGAAUUGUUUUUCUUUUAUUCAAAUGGUUAGGUUGGUUUCUUAUUAUUGUCAGGACUAUGAUAUUCCUCCCCCUGAACCACUUCCUAGAGUAUUUCCAAAGGAUGAGGAUCCUAAGUUGGUCAAGAGGAAUAGAAGAAUGCUAGGGCAGCUUUUGGGCACGUUGGAGGUACUAUCUUCCUUUUUCCCUUUUAUAAACAUCUUGUAUUUUUCCUUUACAUGAGGCAUGUCUUAGGUUCUCAUCCUUUAGUUCUUUCCAAAUAGUAAAUUGGUCUACAUUGAAUUUGUAAUGUAGUUCUUGUUCUUCCAAUCUGAUGCAUCGUACGCAAUCUUCAAAUACUAGUAGCAUAAGUUGGAGAUUAAUAUGAUCAAAUUUCAGCUCUAUAUUCAACAAUAAAGUAUUGAACUACAAUAAUGACAGGCUAAAGAAGAUGGAUUGCUGAUCCGGUUGAUUUAUUGUUUCCAAAAGAAAACAUAUUCAGCAGUAUAUAUUAAAAAUUAAUAUAUCUAAUCAUGCAAAGAGGACUGCAAUAUUUGUUUCUUUCAUUUGGUUUAAGUUGAGAUUGCAAAUAGUUUUUGAUUAAAGUCUUGAGAUAGCAUAAUGCAAUGGGCUUUGUUAAAAAAAAAGUAUAGAAUUGAAAAUUUGGUUUCAACUUUGAAAUUGAGUCAGAGUUGUCUUUCAAGCCUCAAGCCUCACAAAAAAUAUAUUAUUGAGCUAAGCAAGGGUAUCACCUAGGUACCCAAAGUCAGAAUCGCUAAAGAGGAUGGAACUUGAGCAGGAAAGGAUCAAGGAGUUAAGUGCCGUGGUACAGGGUCGUGCCGGAAACUUGCUGGCAUGGUACGGCCAGAGUUUGAAAAGGCGCGUUUGAGGCGCGCGCCUCAGCGCCUAGGCGCGAGGCGCGGGCCUCCGCGCCUCAGCAAUAGCGAGGCGAGGUGAGGCGCUAUUGUUGAGGUGUGCGCCUAGGCCCUGAGGUGCGCGCCUCAGGCGAGGCGCGAGGUGCACAGAAGGCGUGCGCCUCGGCAUAUUUAAUAUUUUUUGGAUUUUGGAUUAAAGUUUUCGGGUUAUUGGGUUUCAGAUAUAAAUUUUAUGUUUUAGCCCGAUAAGAUUAGUAAAGGAAUCUAAAAGAAAUCUAAAAAAACCCUAAUGAAAUUCAUCUACUGCCCUCUCCUCCUACCACUCUCUCCUUUUACCGCCUUUUUCUCCUUCUUGAGGCCAAAUGAAAACAUUGGCACUACAAUCACUUUUAAGUUGAAGUCGAAAUAUAUUUUUUUUAACUUGAGAACCUAUAUGCAUGUGUUUUCUUUACUUUUUUAUAGUUAUUUUAGUUUUGUAUAGUUAUUUUGGAGUUUUUUUAAUGUAGAAUAUCAAAUUAAAUUACUGUGCGCCUCGCCUUCUUGAGGCGCGCGCCUCGCAGUGUGCCUCGCGCCUAGGGUCCAGGAGAGUUUUGCACCUUUUUGCGCCUCGCGCCUUUUCAAACAUUGGGUACGGCACGGUGUGUGCCGGGCCAUACCAAUGACUGCCGGUCACAAAAAAUUUAUGUAUGCCGACACGUAAUGGCACGAAAUAUUUAUUUUCUUUAGCAACAAAUAUGCCAAUUAUUUAUUAUGUAUUUUUAUCAAAUCUUUUGAACUUUUUGAGAAAAUUACUUAUUAAUUUUAAGAAUAGAGGGUUUUGAGUACGGGGGCUGUAUCGUGCCUUUGUCUUGCUGGCAUGAUACGGCACGGUGGAUACGGCCCGUGUCGAUGGACACUUUAAUCCUCGGAAAGCAGGAUGUUUAAGUUUGUCAAUGUUUGAAGGUAUGACAUCUGAUUGUUUGUUGUUGGACACUUAGUAUAGAAUGUUUGUUUAAAAUCUAAUUUGUUAUAUGUUGCUAAAUUCUGUGUGGUUGAGGUUAUGCUUAUCGCUUGCAAAGCCUUUUUUGUUACAUGAUCUGUUAUCUGUGUUGCAUAGAUACGGAUAUGGGGAUACGAAUACAACACAAUAUUGAUAUGGUAAUACGAGAAUUAGUAAAUACUCUAGGAUAUGAUACACGGGGGAUACGUGAAUAACAUAUUAUUUUAAAUAUAUUUGAAUGUAUGUUGACUAUAUGUAAUGAUAUAAUGGAUAGUCAGGGUACCUGGAUUAUAUGAAGAGACAUGUACAUUAGCUCAUACAAUUAUUCUGGGUUUGUGACUUUGUUCAUUAAAAAGGAUAAUCAAUCGCAUGAUAUCAUAAUUUAAAGACUAUUAACAACUAUCAUCCAAUUUGACCAAAUGAUAACAGUAUAUAUUUAGUUGCACAAACUAGAUAAUUAGUCAUUCAUUAUAUAUGUCUGUUUCCAAAUAGCAUUAGGUUCUAUUAUAUGAAACAUUAACAAAAGGAAAUAUGCUAACCUACGCGUCAUGGACGUGGGGUUCCGCCCUGCAUAUCUGCAUUAGACGCGCGUCUGAUGCGUAUGCAGCAUGGAGGCGCAUGCGACGCACGUCCAUGCCGAAUCUUGCAAGUUGCAAAACGCAACUAAUAAGGAACUAAUUAGUUCCGAUGGGAAAAAAAUAUGGUAUUGCCAUGUCAUAAAAUAAAUUAAUAAAAGAACAUAUAGUUUGAAAAAAAAGGAAAGGCAUUGUAUUUUGGAAAAAAAUCUGAUUAAAAAAUUAUAUAGCCUAAUAAAAAAAAUCAUCUAUCUCAUCUCACUGUUGAGUUUCUCUUCAACAAAGCCUCUAAAGGUGUUCUCUUUUUCCAUCUCUUUUUUGCAUUAGUGCUAUAAUUUUUUUUGAAUUAGAAUUUAUUUUUGCAUUAUGAUUAUUUUUUAAUUAGGGUUAUACUUUUUAUUUUUUAGCUUAAUUUUUUUACAUUCGUGUUAUAAUAGGAGUACAUUUUUUAUUUUACUUUUUAUUGGGCAUAAGAAAUAUUUGAUGGUAAGCAUUUUGGCUUUUUUUUUUUUUAGAGGAUCUAAUAAAUCAUAUUUGGUGGAGUUUUUUUUUUUUAAAUAUUAUAUUAACUUUCAUUCGUAUAAGAAAUAUAGUGUUUUUUUUUUGCAAAAUUAAUAUAUCAUAUAUAAUGAAUAUGUAUUGUUAUACUAAAUAUAUUAUAUUUUAUUAGCCGUGUCCUUGCCGUUUUGUAUCCUUAUAUUUUGAAAUUUGCUGAGUCACAGUGUCCAAGUCGUGUCGUGUCUGUGUCUGUGUCCGCGCCCGCGACACAUAUAUGCUAACACUUUAAUAUAAACAAAAAAAAAAACCAUUCUCUAUGGCCCUUGCUAGUUAGUAUGACCAAUUACAUAGAAAAGUAGACAACUAAACCCUUAAGGCCUGAACUAUAGCAGGGGGGGGGGGGGGGNGAGAGAGAGAGAGAGGGGGGGGGGGGGCGAGAGAGAGAGAGAGAGCCUUCCCCAUCCGUGAGCAAAAAUUUAAGGAAAUGACAUAUUGAAGAGAGAUUAGCAUUUCCCCUACUCUUUUCCUUAUUUCCUAUGGGUUAGGACAUGGGAUUUUCAAAAAAUUUUGAGUUAUGAUCCUUUUAGACUAAAAAGAACUUGGCUAUAUCUUGCUGUAUUCCACACCUGUAUGCUCCCCUAUUUGAGCUGUAUUUGGUAUUGUUUUUAUUUUUAAAAAAUUUCAAAUACUCCAAUCAUGUAUUAGACCCCUAUCGGGCACAUUUCAGGUGCGUAGCCAAAUUCGAUACAUAUCCGAUGCACGAGCAACGUGUAAAUUUAAGUAUCGUGCUUUAUAGUCUGUUUUAAUAUGAUCAUGAAAUUGAUUGAAAACUAAAUGCUUAUAUUAUGAAAUCAUCUUAGGGCUGCUAGAGGCCAAUAUAAAUAUCGUUCAUUGUCGUGUCCUUGACCCAUUGAAAUGCUAAAACAUAGGUGCAUAAAUUUCUCGUGCGUAGGCGAAAAAAAAGGAAAGGAAAAAAAAAUAAAUCUAGCUGGAAGUAGUGCAAGUUCCACUCUAACAAUAUUUGGGUCAGGAUGGCUAGAUGCAUCAACUAAUUUACGAGUAGAACUGCCUUGAGAAUGGUAAGUAGAGUAGAACUACCUUGAGAAUGGUAAGUUUGACCUAUUACUGCUGUGCUGUUAACUGGCAUUAAGUUUUGGGAUUACUAACCCGCUUUUAAUACCUUUUAUAUCGAACUUCAUAUGUAUACAGAUGGAAAGAACAUUUGGUGAUCAAUAUAAUCAUCUUUUAGCAUCAAUAUUUUGAAAUCAAUAUAGUAAGCUAGCAAAUUCCUGGCAAUAAAUAUUCAAUAUCUAGAAAUUAAAGUACUUAGUCUGAUAAUGUCAUUCAAUAUUGGCAUAUGAAAGUCUCGAACAAGGAAUCUGGAAAAAAACCCAACAAAUAAUAUCCCAAAAUGAAUCCACAAAUCAUAUUCUAAAGGUUGAACUAAGAGCUUUUUUGAUAUGAGAGUUUAAUAUGGCGAGUAGAUUUUAGGAUAAUCAUGAAGAUUUUGAUUGGGUAAAAAAAUUGUUUAAGUUUUAAACAUAUAUAGCAAAUAAUUUGAACAUAUGAGGUCUACUACAAAGGAGGGGAUUGAAGUUGUUUUCCAAAUUUGAAGGUAAGGACGUGAGCGAACAGUGAGGAGGAAGAAGUGUCUCAUCUUUACAACCAAUAGAAAUUGAUCUUUUGAUUGAUCUUCAAAAUACUUCCUUUUUUUAGGUAGGGCUUUUCUGUUUGAAAGGAAAGAUGAUUAGAAUCUUAAAAGUAGAUAACAUCAGAAGAGCGAUAGAGUUCGGUGCUAUGGAAGCACAAGAGAGAAAAAAAGAAGAAGAAAAGUUAGGCUUGCCUUUUUUAUACUUUUGUGGAAUAAAUUCUUGGGAUGUAUCCUCGCUCCUUACUGUCCUCUUGCACCUUACCAUCCUCCCUCUCUAUGUUUGAAGAAAACUAUUUAAGAACAAGUCGAACUCUUUCUACAAUUUAUCACGCUUAUACUAGGUGGAAAAAUAUUCCCUCCAACAGGUCUUGAACCUAUACCAAAGGCUUAGAAGACUUCUAUCCUAUCCAUUAGACAAUCCACUUCAUUCCUAUUUUCUUCUUCCGUAUUUUUUCUCUUGUUUAGAUAAAAAAAUGAUUGCAUAGAAAAAAUUUUUGGGAAUAGGAAAAGGAUGCAUAUCAAAAUGAUUGACGCAUGCAUAGUUAAGAUUAUGGAGCAGGUAGUGAGAAUUGAUUCUGCAUCGUUAGCCUGGAAGGAUAAAGUUAUAGUUGACGUUGGUUUUUCUAUAGUUAAAACGAGCAAACAUCUCAUAUGGGCCAUCAAAAAAUUGUCUAUUUUUAAUGUCUUAUCUUUGAGAAUGACUUCACAGCAAAACAAACCAUUUAAUCUUAGGGUGCGUGCGUUAAGUUUGUGCUAUCUUAUUUGCAUUCUCAAGAAUUCGCUAUAUACUAUAGCGCUUGUGUAAUCCCAUUUGAUAUUGGUUAGUAUUUUUCAUUCUGAAACAUCGGUUGAUCUUUGAACUUCUGGUUAAAUUUCAUUUAGGUUACCAAACUUCAAUUUGUCUCAUUUUAGGCGCUAACUUUACUUUUUAUUUCAAUCAGGUUAUUUUGUUAGACUUUGUAUAAUGUUUCAAACAAAACGACAAAAUGACAGCUAAUUCAGUUACCACAUCAUCUUCUAGAGAUGACAUGACUAUUAAUUUAUUUCUUGGAGAUAGUUGGACAGGCUACUCAUUUGUAAAAUCAGCUUUUCUAUAUGCUGUAAUAGUUGAAUAAUAGUAAUUUUAAGAUGGUAUAGCCAAGGAUUUAAGUACCUAUCGGCACGGGCCGUAUUUAUGGUACUAUAUCGUGCCAAGAAGAUAUUGGCACAAUACAGCCUCCAUGCCCAUGGCAUAGUUCAAAACCCUUUUUUACUUUAAAUUAGUAAGUAAUUUUUUCAAUAAAGUUUAAAAAAUUUGAUAAAGAUACAUAAUAAGUAACUAGAAUAAUUUGUUGCUAAAGAAAAUAAAUUUUUCAUAUCAUUAUGUGUCGGCAUACAUGUAUUUUUUGUGACCGGUACGCAUAGGUACGGCCUGACACGUAUUGUGUUGUACCGUGCCAGCAAGUUUAUGACACGAUUCUGCGCCACGACACUUAAAUCCUUGGGUAUAGCAAUUGAAAUGAUUAGCAGUCAUUACCAUGCUAUGUUACACGGACACAAACGUGGGACACGGGGCACAACAUGACUCGGACACGAUGACUCGACAACUUCAAAUAAAUUAGAAGAUGGACUCGGCAAAGCGAACAUUAAAAUAUUUUUUUAAAUACAAAUAUUCUGUAUAUAUUAUAUACAAAAAAUAUAAUAUUUUAAAAUUAGUAAAUAAACUCUAAUUAUAUGCCUUACAAAGCUGGUGCAUGAAUUGGAGAUCUUUUGUAUUGGUUAAUUAGUAGACUCAUUCAUAACAUACAACACAACAAAUUUCGAACCUAAGUUAAUAGAUGUGUCAUAUGACAUUGAAAAAAAAUUUAUAUAUCACAAUUUGUAAAAUUUUGGAUUUUUUUUUUUGAACAACUGUCUUUUUAAUACUGUUGUUUCUUGAAACCAAGGAUUCAAGUGCUGUCCUAUGCCGUACGGCAUGGGGCGGCAUGUACUGUGCCCCUAAUAUAGGGGCAUAAUAGGGCCCCCUUGUGCCGUGAUACCUGCGGGGUAUCGUGGCACAGCAUCAUGUGGGUUUUAUUUUAUUUUAUUUUCCUGUUGUGGUUUUUUUCUCUUAUUGCACCCCCUUCUCUCCCCACAAACUGCGCGAUACCGACUAUGUAUCGCGCGAGACAGAGCGAUACCCUUGCGGGUAUGGCGGCACAGCAUCGUGCCGAUUUUAUUUUAUUUUAUUUAUUUUUUUGUUCUGGUUUUUUCCCUCUUUUUUCUUUUUUUGCACACCCCCGGUGAUACCCCUGGGGUGCAGGUAUCGCGGCAGAGUAUCAUGUCAGUUUUAUUUUAUUUUUUUGGUGUGGUUUUUUUUUCUUUUUUUGCACACUCCCGCCCCCUUCCCCCUCCCGAAACCCAACAACCAAAACCCCACUGUGCUGCCCGUGGGGAGUGGGAAUUUUUUAAUUUUCCUCUUCUUUUCUUUUGGUGGGCCUUUGUGUUCUCUUCUUUUCCUUCUGUCACUUAAAAAAGAGGCAAAAAAAUUGCAAAUAAAAAAUCUACUUAUUAUGUCAGUAAAAAAGUUAUAACUUAAAAUUUUGUUUAUAUAUUUUGAAUAUUUUUAAUUUGUAAAGCUUAUUUUUUGAAGAAAUAUAAAAUUAGGCAAUUUUAAUUUAUUGUUAUAAAAAGUUAAAAAUAUAUCUUCUUGAUUUGAUUAUUAUAUAGUCAAAAUUUUAAUUUUCAGAUUCGAUCCGUACCACCGGGGGCUCAGCCCGAGCCCUCCGUUGCCACCGGAGACAUCCACUUUUUCUUUAUCUAACAUAAAAUUCUAUUUUGAAGUAAGAAAAUUAAACAUACUGAUAAAAUUAUAGACUAAAUUAAAUCAAUUGAUACUUAAAUUUAUUUAAUUUAUUCGUCAUAUAAUUUUUUUCUAAAUUUUAUGAUAUAUUUAACAAAUUAUUAUGAUCCACCGCGACGAUUUAUGUGGAAUUAAGUAGUCAUUUUUCUGUAAAGAUGUAAAUUAUAUAAUUAUUGUAUUUGUGAAUUUUAUUAUUGUAUUUUAAUUUUUAUUUUCUAUAAGAUAUAUUUGUACUUUGCAUAUAAAAGAGUUUAUCAGUAUGUUAAUUGGUGAGUAUAGUAAGCUAUACAUAGCCAAUAUUUAAUUAUUUGACUAAAUCUUUCAAAAUAACAUUAUAAGAGUUUAUUGGGACCAAAAAAAUAAAAAUAAGUUCAUGCCAAAGCGUGCUGUUAGGAGGUCAUGUGUAUCCAUUGGUACGAAAGUCUGCCACGUGUCGGUACGGAAGCGUACCUGUGCCGUGCCGUGCCGUGCAGUGCAAAUAGCGGCAUACCCCCGUGCUACGACACUUUAAUCCUUGCUUGAAACUACUUAACAUCUAAGUAUUAGAUUUUUCAAAAUUGAGAUUUUUUUACGUAUUUCUUUAAAUAUUAUAAAUAUAUUUGUCAAAUUACAUUUUAAUUUUAAAGCAUUAAUUAUAUAUUGAUUGUGGCAUAUAAUAGAUAUACACCGGGUGCAGUCCCGUUAUUAAAAUCCUUGGAACUCUUCCUACGCAGAGACGGCUUGUAUGAUGCACAUGAGUCCCUGAAGUGUCUUUUUUUUUUUUUUUUUUUUUUUUUCUGUCCCGGACAUGCAGCAGGCACGCGUCAUUGCACGUCGCGUUUGACUUGCGUUGGAUGCGGAUGCAGCUCCCUUGGAGCCGCAUCAUGUAACCUUGUUACCAUGUCAUUAUUUUUUUGAUAGCUGAAUUAGUUGCUACUUCAUUGCUUUACCAGAAAAGUCAAUCAAAAUAUGAGUGGUGACUUAAUUUAAAUAGAAAUUAAAGUUUAGUGAUUUGAUUGAAACAAAUUGACGUUUAGUGAUUCAAUUGAAAUUGAAAUUAAAGUUUAGUGACUUGAUUGAAACAAAUUAAAGUUUAUUGAGGUGCAUAAUUUUGCAAGAAAGUCGGUGACUAAGGGUGUAAUUUACCCAAAUGAAUUCUUGUUUAGUUCUUUGUUGUUGCAACAUUUUGCACAGUAUGUUCUGUUUCAUUUUCCACUAGUUACAAUUCGUGAAACUCUAUUUGAUUAUAGUUUUCUUUAAAAUGUUGAUCAUUGUCCAGAAAUUUCGGGAAGAGGACAAGCAAUUAUCAUCUACGGAGGCUUUCAUGCGUAGAUCAGAUUCUUUACGAAGGGUGAGGAGCUCUUUGCCUUCUCUGACUAUUUUAUUUCCUCUAUAGUUACUUUAGACUGAAAUCAGAGGUUUUCUGGUGCAGUUUUCUUGCACAGUAUGAAUAUGUAUUUAUGGCUGAAUAUUACUAAAUUGGAAUUUUCCCGUACAAAUCCGUGCGUAACAGAUAUGAGUAAGAGCCACUCUGUCCAUGACUGGAUUUGAAUUGCAGGAAGCUUACAGGAAUAGAAUGAAUUGCUCACUACAUAACUGACCAUAUAUUCUCCACUGUCAAAUAAUUAUUAGUGAAGGGUUGAACUACUGGAAAAGCAUAGAAAAUUCUGUCUUUCAUCUGUGAAACUGGAACAACAUAGCCUACUAUAUAAUAUUUCUUAAUUAUCAUCAUUCCUCUUUAAUAUUACACAUUUGUGGGUGCCUAAUAACUGCCAUCAUGUGCCUAAAUCAUUAUAUACAUGAAAUUGUAUUUUGACUGCUCACUUUGAUUGUAUUGGCAAGAGGUAUAACAUCUUGGCCUUCAAUUGUCAUGAAUGGUAGUGGCAUUUCACCGUCAACAAAUUACCAUGUACUUUAUGGAACCUUUCAAGUUGUAGCUGAAGUAUAUUAUUGCUGUUUUCUGUUGAACAGUUGACAGUAGAAUAAAUAAGACAUCUGUAAAGGAUAUUCUGGGUAUGUUAAUGAGAGUGGUGCUUUGAGGUGCUAUUUUUCUUCCCAACAGUUUUAGAAAGCUAUUGUGCUCAAGCUACAAUCUUUCUUAAUAUCACUUACGUUAUGGGUUUACGUUAGAUGCUUCUGUUUUGGGGUUAUGUAGAUAUUUUAUGAACGCAAGAAGGGUGUAUUGUUGGCAUACUUGGCGGUGAUUUUACUUGUUGCCGGCGCAAGAAUCUAUUUAAUGUGUAUACUAGUUGUGAACCUGCAUGUCAUGCAGGAAUGGAUUUGGUUUUAUUCUAAUAUUAAAAAAUAAUGAGAGAUGUACUGAAGAUCUUUGAAGAGAAUAAAAAUAAGAGAAAUUUAAAUCACAUAGAAAAAUAUUCUCUCUAAUUGCACUUUUAGCACAUUAUUGUAUAAUUUGGUAGUUCUUUAGAAAAUUUGUAGCACUAAUGGCCAGGGUAUAUUCACUGUUAUAUUUCUCAUAGUAUACUGGGAUAACUUUAUCAAGAAAUUAUUCCUUUUGGAAGGUAUAUUCUGUUUUUCUAUGAUGGUGACAUGCAAAAGAUGAAAAUGACAUUUGAAUAGAACAAGCUGGUUCCUGGUGAGUUUGCCCGGUGGCGUGUGUUGUGAAGGUCACCUUCCAUUCUGCCAAUCUGCACUUUCAGUGCAAACUCUGCACUUUAAACAGAAUUGAACCUCCGAAGUCUGUUUCGCACCGUUUUCGAGUCGAAAAACACUCGGUCGACUCUCAAACACCCUUAAAAUUAUUGGAAUGGUUUCUUAUCUUUUUUUUACUUACUAGAACUUUGCAAUCUGUGAUAGUUCAGUGGAUUACAAUGGAUUUCAAGAUAGCAAAUAACUGAUAGCCUGCCCAUUGGCGGGCAGGUGGAUUAAAUUUGUUAAGAAAUUAUAUUUUGCAUGCAUUCCAUUCCAAAUUUAGUUCUUAGGUAUCCCGAAACAACUCUUUGUACUGCGUUGUCAUAUCCUAAAGAUCUUUUAAAACGGGAAAAUAGAAUAGAUGAAAAAGGAACUUCGUGCUGCAAAAAUAUAAAUUUGGAGCAUUAAUUUCGUAUUUUAUUUUUCUUUAUUAUAAUGAGGUUGUACUUAGUUAAGUUGGAAGACAGCAUUGCUUGGUAAAUAUGAUGAAAAUCUUCAACUGCACACAGGCUGAACAGAAGGCACAGGAGGAAAGUGAAAGGUUACGACAGCAAGAACGAGAACAAAUUGCAGAGAAACGCAGGCGUGAUUUGGUGAAUUUUCUUCGACACUUUAACAUUCUUUCCGGCAUACAUUAUUGGGUGUAAAUGUAUAGAGACCCCUUCAGCUAUAGGCCAUUUUGAAGUAGGCCCCUCACUUUUACUUUUUCUGAUUGACGCUGCCUUAACUUCUAUUUUAUUUUCUUUUAUUUUAUUUUUUUCAAUUGAGUUAUGCUAGUUAAGUUGAAAAUCUUGUUAAAAGUUAAUGGCUCUAUUAGCUAUAGCCAUUAAUUGCUUCAACUUUAGGUGGUUAAACACAUUAAAUUUAAUGGAAUUGGUAAUGAUUUGAUAUAAUCCCUAAUUUAUUUGGCUAAAAUCAUUCAAUUCUGAAAGAAUAGAAAUAUGGUAUGUCAAUCAAAAAAAGUUUUGAGGGGCCAAUGAAAUGGCCUGUAGUUGAGGGGGUCUCGAUGUGUUUACACUGAUAUUUUCAAUGUGCAGGUUGUUUACUUUGCUUUCAUAUAUAUUAAAAAAUGAUGUGCUUUUGGAAUUCAGAUUCUGCGUGCUCGUGUUGCUGCUAAGGCCGAGCAAAAGAGGUUGGAGCUGCUGUUUAUUAUCUGGGCUGAGCAUCACAAGAAGCUAUCCAAUUAUAUAAGGUAAGUGGCUUUGGCUGUUUUUUUUUUUUUUAACCUACAUUGCCUGCCAAAAAAUUAUUCGGCAGAGUUUUUAAAUUAUUUUGCUCUACUUUCCAGCAAUAGGUAUAAAAUCUAUACCUUAUUAUUACGACAUUAAUUUAGAGCUGUUUUGAUUUGCUGCAGGUUAUUUUUCUUUUUGGUCCAAAAUGUCCAUAUUGACAAGUAAUUCAGAAAGAUAAGUUUCUGAUUGUUUUCAAAUCUUGAUUAUCGAGACCAGAAGCUAUUGAAGUAAAUGUUAGCUCUUUGGACAAUAUUUAAGUUAGUUUUGAUGUUUUUAAUUUUUUCUUGGUUUUUUUUUUUUUUUCAGGACCAAGGCAGAGCCUCCUAUAUAUUACAUGCCAGCCAAACCGUUAAUUGAUGAUAUGACUAUCACUGAGCAGCAGAAAGAGCAGGUACUGUCGACAACUCUUUCCGUCCAUUGCUCACUCCUGAAGCUACGCAUGCAAAUGUUGUGACAUAAUAGACUUGUCAAGGCGACUAUUGACAAGAUAAAUAUUAACAAAGGAGAAACCACCAAAAUAAAACCAUAAGCCCUACACUUUCUUGGCAUAUCCGAAUUACUUACAUACCUACCCAUAUCCUGCAUGCAGUCCUCUGGAAAAACUCUUCCUGGCCAUCAUGGAAGAGGGAACACAUAUUAAUGGACUGGUUUUGGACCAAACUGGUAAUUCAAUAAUCCCUGUGGAAAAAUAGAAAUUUGCUUGCAUUAGUGAAGUUUGUCAAUGUGGUUAGGUAAUCCCUAGGUAGAAGGCCUACGGCUCGGGAUAUAAUGUGGUCCGUGCCGGCCCAACAUUUUCUGCCCGAGACCGGCCACAAAUUCCGGCCAUGGUGGGCCGGGCUAGAUUUUUUGAACCCUUGGCCCAACAUGGCAGCAUGGGCCGUGCAGGGCUCGUGCUGGCCUAGCAUUUUUUUUAUUCUUUUAAGUUUUAAAUUUUUAUUUUAAAAAAUUUACAAAAUAAAAUAUUCUAAUUUUUUUUAGCUAUUAUGGUUAAAAAAAUUAAAAGUUAAAAACUUUUAAUUUUUUCUAAAAAAUUAAAAAUUUUAAAUUUUUUCUAAAUAAUUAGAGAUUUUAAAUUUUUCUGAAAAAUUUAAGAUUUUAAACUUUUUCAAAAAAUUUUAAACUUAACAAUCAUUUAUACAAAAAUUCUAAAAUUUAAAAAAUUAUUUUGAAUAAAAGUUUAAAAAAUUUAUAAAACUUUAAAAAAUUAUUUGGAUAGAGCUUAAAAAAUUAAAUUUAAAAAUUAUUUGAAGAAAAGUUAAGAGUUUAAAAGACAUUUGGACAAUUUUAAAGUUAAAGCUAUAAUCUUAAAAUUUUUUUGUAAAAAACGACUCAGCUCCCAAGGGAGCUAGUAGGCCUAGCUCCCUUCGGAGUUGGGAGAAGAGAGCUCAACCUGGGCUCCUUUGUCCCAAGUUAUUCCCUUAUUAAGGCCUCGGGCAAGUCUAGGCCUUGGAGGUCGCGCCAUGCUGUCCUGAUCGUGUUGGGCCAUAGGCCUGGCCAUGGACUCGGCAUGGCCCAGGCUUGUUCCGGGCCGAUGGGCCUAAAAUUUUGUAGGCCCAGCAUGUCUCGAAAGUUCGGGGAAGGCUAGGUUGGGCCAUCAUGGGUUCUUCAGUACUAGUGUCGUGCCCAGGCUCGGGGUAGAACCAUGUCGGUGGGCUGCCUGACCCGUUUUACAUCCCUAGCUAUGGGGUGAAGACAGAUUGGAAAAUAUCCGAGUGUAUCCGUGCCUGUAUGCAACCUCAUCUACAUCUGAGUAGUAUAUGUUUGUAUUCAGGUCGGAUCCAGAUGUGAAUAUGGUCUUGAAUAACUGAAAAAUUCGGGUUCAAAUUUGGAUAUUCAAAAAUUAAUAUUGUGGGGGAAAAAAGGGAUAUGGGUCUGGCUCCCAUGUCAGAGCACUAGCUUUGCAUCAGUGAGAUGCUCGGUCCAAUUCCUCCCUCUAGCAUAUUUUUUAAGUUUUGCGUGUUAGUCCCUGUACUAACUACAGAUUGCUAGGAGAUCCCAAUACUAGGAGGUCCCAAUAUUGUGCACUCAAAUAAUCUAAUCCUGCAUUAUUACCUGUACAAACUAUACAUUGUUAUGAUGUCCAGAUAUUGUGCACUCAAAUACUGCAAUUCCUGCAUUUUUCACAUAUUUGUUUGUUAAAUCUUAAAUUUUAUUGAAUAAGAUAUAGGUAUGUAAAGUUUGAACGUGAGUAUGAAACUUUAAUUGCAUUGUGUCUUAUUCAGGCUAAUUCUAGUUCAUAUUCAUGUAUGUAUAUUAUCAUAUAGGGACAAUUUCACCACUACGCCGCCCAAAUAUGUAAAUAUCGUAAAUACCCCUGCAAAGUUAAAAAUAUCAUGUAUUCCCCUUCAAAUGCAAAAAAUUAUCACGAUUACCCCUGCCUCUAAAGUGCCAUCACUUUACCAUGGUUAAAUUAUAGUUAUAGAUGGGUUAAGUUAUAACACGACUAAUUUAUCCCUCAAAGGUUGGGGUGGUAUUUUUGGCAGAAAAUACUUGAGAGGCGAUUUCAUGAGUACCCUUCUAAAUUUUAAAAAUAACAUUUCUACCCUCACUGUUAGUGGGUUAUUAUAUAUGUGGAAACCCCUCCCCUAUAGGUUAUUUUGAAAUAGAUCCUAUAACUUCAAUUUUUUAACAUUAAGACCCCUUGAACCUUUAGUUUUCUUAUUCAUUGUUUUACUUAGUUUUUUAAUGAGAUCCCUCACGCAUGAAUUUGAUAACAUUUUUAAUUUAGUUGUUAAAAAACACUCAAUUGCCAAAAAAAAUGAAAAGAAACUUAGGUUGAAAUGGUGUGUAUAUGUGUGUGUGUGUGUAUAUAUGUGUGUGUGUGUGUGUGUGUGUGUACAUGUAUAUGCACAUAUAUAUGUGUAUAUACAUGUAUAUGUACAUGUGUGUGUAUAUAUAUAGUAGAGUUGAGUUAGUAUACUAUUGAUGGUAUAUGAAUAGUAUCUACUAUCAACCUUUCCACCCUUGGAUUAUUACUAUUCCACCAACCAUCACUAAACCGUAGGCAUUUAAUGGUCAAAAAAUUGAUUGUAAACACUAUUCCCAUACUAGCUUCACUGUAUAUAUGUAGUUUGGCUUGUGUGCUUUCAGAAGCCUGAUAAUGACUGUGCCUAGGCUAGUCGAAGUUGCAUAAUUAGCUUAAGUAUAGACAGACUAUGUAAGAUGCUCCUUGUCGUUCAUGCCUUUCCGUAGUGAAUCUUAAGAAGGGUGAAGAACAACAAUUUGUUUUGCAAAAUUUCGAAGUCUAUGCACCCACUUCGCGCAAUCUGUUUGCAAAAUUCCCGAGUCUAUGUGCCCCAUUUCCAGGUAUCAGAGACAGGUGAUUCUUAGUUUUCUCGUGCAUCAUACACAGGUUCUCCUAGAGUGGAAGUCGGCUCGAAGGGCCGAGCUGUCUGAAUUUCAGAAGCAAAUCGAGGAGCAGUAUGUCACGAAUGUGGAGAAGGAGCUGGAACGAUGGCAGAAUGCUCGGAAUGCUAGGAGAGCAAACAAUGCUGCUAAUCUGCAGGAGACUAUGGAUAAGGAGCUAGAGACGCACAGGCUGGAGCAUGGUCCUAAGACUCGCAGGAUACCAGGAGACGAUGAUGACGAGGAUGUGGAGGACAUCGCCGCAGAGGAUGAGCUGAUUGAUGAGGUCCUUGAUGUCGCUGAGAGGAUUGAUACUGAUGCACCGCCCAAGCUAUUCCCUGCUGGUAAUGGAAGUCCUAUCCAGACCGAGUUGCAGUAGUUGUGCGGAGUGUAGCGAGGAGGUUGUAGAAUACUUUUCAGCUGCAUUUUGUAGUCGUGAUAAGCAUGCAUGUGUUUUUUAUAGAUCAUUGUAACUCUCCUAGAUUUCCUUGGUCUUGUUGGGAAAUUGGAUUGUAGCUGGUAUUCUAUAGUGAGGUAUGCUAUCUCUCCUUAUCCGUCAACCUCUGAUUAAGACGAUUUUACAUCGAGCAAUGCUAAUCUUAUACUGCUUCAUCCGAGGGCCCAUAUUGCCCUUUAAUCUUAUCAUUUUUUUUUUUUUUUUUCUUGAAAUUUGCUAUUUGCUAUUUAUUUUUCUUCUAGUAGCAUUUACUGGGAAUCUCAUAUUGGAUAGAAAUAAAGAAUUUNGGUGUAAGAUUGUGGUGUGCAGCUAGCAUUUUUGUUGUUGUUGUUGUUGUUGUGGUUUUAACAUUUUUCUUCACUUUCACCCGGUUGUCUGUCUUUGUCUUUGUCUUUGUGUUUGUGGGUUUAGCACCUCCGCCCCUGGAAUGCCACCGGUUCCCAUGCGUCUAUUUCCAGUCCCCUUCGUGUGCUGUCGUCUAAUUGCUUUCCAUUGCUAUUAUGUAUUUUCUUUAUGGAAGAUUAUACUUUUCAAUUAUUUUGGUGGGACGACGGUACUCUUCACGCCAAAAGGCUGGCAAGUGUGAGAUUAGGGAUAAAAGGUAAAUAAUAAUUUUAAAAAACCAUAAAAAAGGAUAGCUCUGCUUCCCUCGGCGCGGACCACCGGCUACCCUCUAUCUUUUACUCUUCUUUUAUAUUUUCCUGUUCCCUGCUUGUUGCUCUCUGUCCAGCGUGACGGAUGACCCAUCACCGCAGGCUUGCUAUUGUGUGCUUGUGUGUUUUUUUCGGUAAUGUUAAAAGUGAUUUACGUCCCGAAGAAGAAUCUUCUAGUAAGACUGAGGAGAUAUACAAGAAUCUUCUAGUAAGACUGAGGAGAUAUACAAGAUCGAAUUCAUAUAUCCCCAUUCUACAGUCCAAACUACAAAGAUUGUUGGAAGGUGAUUCUGGUAGGUUCUCGUAGUAGUAACAUUUAUUUACUUAGACCGCAUUUGGUUCGAAUAUAAGUAAAAAUUAUUUAUUUCAUGAAUAGGUAGUGAAGGUUUAGCAAUCAUUAUACAUCAAAUCUUCUUAGAAAAUUCAUUCAGAAAAUCAUUUUCAAGAAAAUUGAUGAAUAAAAAUCUCUAAUUAAUAAAACCUUGGGAUAAUGACCCAAUAAAACGUCUAAAAGAACCCCCGGGAAUCUCUCCCUUUACAAAGAUAAGAACUGCCCGCCAUUUGCCCUUUAGGGCCCGUUUGGUUCGAGUUAUGUAAUAUUACAAAGUAUCUCGAUAUAUCCAGGUAUUUUGGAUUUCGGCGUGAGAUUACUACUAAUGCUGCAUUAGAGCGUUUGGUUUAAUACAGUAAUAUAAUACUAGAUUACAGUAUUUAUAGCAUUAAUAUGUUUUGUUCAGUUUAUAAAAUUUCGUAAUCCUGACAUAAAAGUAUAGUUUUUUCCAAAAUUGCCCUUGUUGUGGUCAUUUGAAUAUUAUUUUUUACGGAAAGGACGAAUGGAGGGAAGGAGAUCGUGAUGAUUACUUGGGAGGACGACGCAAUAGAAGAUGAUAGGUGUUCGUGCGAGAGAGAGAGAGAGAGAGAGAGAGAGAGAGACGUUGAGAGAGAGAGAGAGAGCGAGAGAAAGCGGCGUGCGAGAAAGAGGGCCGGGGGAAGGCGAGAGAGAUGAAAAUAAUGCUGUUAAUUAGAUUUUGGGUUGUUGGAGGGUAAAAUUAUUAUUUUACAUAAUAUGUAGUAUUAACGGGUUUCAGUAAUGCAAGAUACACGACCCCCCUCCCGUUAAUAUUUUCGAUGUAAUCCUGCUCGAUUUGUAAUGCUACAUUAACGACUAGAUUACAUAGCGGAUUAACCAAACACAGUUAUCCUGACAGGAUUGCCUGUAAUCCUGCCAGGAUAACUCGAACCAAAUGCACCCUUAAGGCAAAUGGAAUAAGGGCAAACUUCAGAUAUAAGCAGAAACUAGACCAGUUUUGCAUUUGGAAGAUAAUUGGGUUGUUCUUGAAAUAAAGUAAAUAGUUUUUGAAUGGUUAGAUUAGAAUAGAAGGAAUAAGAAUUAUAAUAUUAAAUUAAAAUAUUUUAUCUAACUAAUUAACAUCAAAAUAUUAAUUAAAAAUAAUUUAAUAAAUUAAUAAAUUUAUUAGCUAUCGAUAUUGUAUAGGAUAAUAAAAGUAUAUUAAUUAAAACAUUAAAUAUGAAAAAAUAAUUUAAUUUUUUAAUUAGUUAGUAAAUUAUUUUAGUUAGAUAACUAGUAAAAAUAUUAAUUAGAUUAAUAUAAAUAUUAAUGAUUGAUCAAUAUAAAUAUUAGUUUAUGUAUAAACAUAUUAAAUUGUUAAUAAUUAAUUAGCUAAUUAAUUAUAAGUAAUAAAUAAAUUAAUUACUUUAUUAUUUAACCAAUGAUGGAUAAUGAUUAAAAAAAAUAUUAAUUAGAUUAAUUAAUAAUCUAAUAUCAUAAUUAAAAUUAAAUUUAGACUUUAAUUAACCUUAUUUCCACCUACUUGAAGACAAGCUUGAUUUUGAAAAAGGAGUGGAAUAGCAGUUUUAGGUUUAUACCGAAUUAUAUCAGCUUAUUUUAGGGAUUCGAGAACUACUGCUCUCGGCUAUGAAAAUUUGCGUUUGGGAACAAAUGGGGGAACAAGAGCUUAUUCCUCCUUUGUUUCCGAACCAAAUGCAGCCUAAAUAUAUUAUCUUUAUUUAUUUAUGUUUAUUAUUUUAAAGUAUUUUUUAUAUAUUAUUAUUGAAAUAUGUUAUAUACUAACAUUGAAGUGUUUUAUAUAUAUAAUAAUAUGAUUAUAAGAGUAUUAUAUUAUAAUAUUUUUAAUUAUUUUAUAUUUUAUAAAAUAUAUUAUUUUUUAUAUGUAUUAUUGUACAUAUAUUAAUUUUUUAUACAUGAGAGAUAUAUAAACAAGGACAAUCUUGGUAUUUAAAAAAAAAUAAUCCACUUUUUCUACUAUUGUUUAUUAUUCUUAAUAAAAUUAUCGAAUAAUAUUUUUAUUAUCCUAAAAAAAUAAGAAAAUAUCAAAUUAAAUAGAAAAUUUUUUUUAUUCCUUUGUAUCCUAGAAUAAUA
rnacentral:lncRNA from 1 species